rnacentral:lncRNA from 1 species
UUUCAUCCGAAAUGACAGAAGAAAGGCAGAGCGCCGCUUGGUUUUUCAUCCUCUGUCCCAGCUCUGCCCUUCAGAUCCCUAUCUGCUCCCAUUGCAACGAGAGAAAUAGGGAUCCGACUGUCGCACUAUGGAGGUAAACUCUCAUCCUUAAGCCUCUCUUUUUCUUUGUUCUAUGUGUUCGCAAACAAAGUAGCAAAAAGGAAAAGAAAACAGUAAAAGACGAAGGAAAAAAAUGGAAUAUACCUCUGAAAUUUUUUUGUUUUUUUUCAAUCUUUUUCGUAUUCAAUCUGUGGAUGCCAAAAAGAAAAAUUCUUUUACAGUGUUUUUUAAUCGGCCUUAUAUCCGAAUCGAAUAGAAGAGAAAAAAUAAAAUACCAAAACAAAAGAAUAAAAAUCCCUCUUUGCUCUUAUUUUCUACUAUUUUUGUUGUCGUUUCUGCCUUUUCUGCUUUGUUGCGUUGUUUUCUGUUCGUUUCUGCAGGUACGGAUGUGCGCGGGCGUGCGUACGAAGUGGCUCGUGCGGUACUGGAGCUGGGCAGAGGCAGGAGCGUGUGGAGGAUCGUGGGGCCGAGGGGAGGCUGCGGCGCUCAUGCUGAGUACCUAGGGUUUCUGCAAUUAGGUUGGGCUUUGGGUUGAGUGAUUUGGGUUAGGUCUUCUGAUUUAGCGGGCUAGGCUAGUUGGGCUUAAUGGGCUGGGGACAUGUAUUUGGGUUAGAUCUUCUGAUUUAGCGGGCUAGGCUAAAUUUUGGUUCUAAUUUUGGGUUAUUUGGGCUCGGUGGGUCUGUAAAUGGACAUUUGGACUGUUAUUAAUUUUGUUUGGUUUAUUUUUGUUUUUGAUUUGAUUUUAUAUUACGGGCCGGGCAAAAUGGCCUAUUACACAUAUUUUUCUCAUAUUUUUAAAUUUGUUUCAAACUGAUCCAAAUUGAUUGCCUGCUUAGUUUUAACUUUCUGUAAGUUCGAUAUUAACCCGUAAUUUAUUGAAACACAUGUUAAUUUAUUUAAUUAUUAUUUUUUUGAUAGUUAAUUUAGAUUAUCAAAAUUAUAAUUUGCUUGUAAUUGUUUAAUAUUUAGUUGUAACAUCUAUUGUCCAGGUUCGACGACCAGACAGGGUGAGGGGUGUUACAUUUAAAUUCUAUGAUGGAGCAUACUUGCAUUAUAUGAUGUUUGGGUGAUAAUUAUAUGUAUUUUAUGGUUUAGAAAUGUUGGAAACAGUUUGAAAGUGAAUGGUGAACAAUAUGGCAUGCUUUGGAGGUGUUUCAUGUUUUGACUUUCAAGCAUCUUAGUAUUGACACAAGUGGGAGUUGUAUUGGUACUUCCUUAGUAGAAUGCAAAAAAAUUAAUAGUUCUAGUGCCAAAGUACCGAUAAAUUGGGUCAAAGUAUCGAUGCCUCUACCCUAACUCCCCUUAUUUGUUUUGUUUAGCCUUGAACAAGCCCCAAACAAUGAUUGAAUGCAACCAAAGCAUAAGGGAAGCUUAGAAGUGGUUCAAAUUACCUUAAAUUACCUUAAUACAGUCAAUAUUAAGUAGGAAAUAUUAACCUCAAAUUUAGUAAACCUAGUGUUCAAAUGUGACAUCCUUUGCUUGAAUUAUCGACUAAUCUUGAGUUAAGGGGUGCUACAUUUAUUUUGGUAUCAAAGCCUAAAUUUAAUUGAUUCUAGAGUUGUAAAUGAGACUAGAAGACAUGCCAUAUAUGAUAUUUUUAACACCUCUUGCUCGACCGAUCGUCAGAUCCAAACUACAGGAUGCCACAUUUAUUGCCAGAACAAUUACAGUCAAAUUCACAAUAAAAUGAUCAUUUUCACAUGCAUUCACAUAUCAAUCAUGAUUUAAAUACAAUAAUAUCUUAUUUCAAAGUCUUAAUCGAGCUUAAAAAAGCUCUUAGUCAUCCCUUGCACAAAAUAGGACCAAAUUAUAAAGUUUUAAAAAUGUAUGGAUCGAUGUCGCGACUUCAUCUAGCACUCGUCACGACAUGGCCAUCUCAGCAUGUCACGUUGUGAUGACAAGCCCUAGCUCGUCACAACGUCACUCACUAUAAUGGCAAUGUUGUGACGUCCAAAAUCCGAAGUCGUGACAUGGUACAUGUUUUGGUAAAAAUUAAUCAUUUGGUACCUAUUUUAUACUCUCCAACCAACCUAACAAUUUAAGCAGCAAAUACCAAUUUCAUUUGGAUCAAACAUACCAAAACAAGUCAAUUAAUCAUUUCAAAUAAGCUGUAUUGCCCGAUGAACUCUAGUAAAUGGACUCGGAUACACAGGUAUCUCUGAUACACCAAUUACUCGCCCGAGCUUAACAUAUAAUCGUGUUAGGUUAUCGGUCCAAGCUAAACCUUUAUAAUGACACAUCAAGUUACCAGUCUAGGCUAAACUUGUGUCACAUGUAUCUUUGAUUCCCAACAAAUACUAGAUCUCGAUAACAUUUGUAACCAAUCUUGUACAAGCACGCACAAAACCCUAUUAGCAUGUUAAUCGUAUUAUAACAUUUACUAAGUUCAAACAGGCAUCUAUUAUACACAUUAACAUUUCUUUACAAUUUAGUCCAAAUCUCACCUUUUAUACCAAUUUACCACCAAUUAAUUCACAAUCGAUUAUACAUAUACAAAUCAAACACACAAUUAUUUAAACACAUAAAUACCAUAUAAACUUACCUGGUCAAGACAACAAGCAAAUUAGAUCCUUAAGGACUAUUCGACAAUUUUGGCUUUUCCCUUACUAUAGUUUGAUUCAAUUCUUAAUUUAAACAAUUAUUUUAGACAAUUCAUCAAUACAAAAUAUUUUUAUAACAUUUCAUGAUAUGCAUGAACCUAUUUAAUAACAUUUUUUGAAUGCACUUUAAGUUUUGCCUUUUAUUCAAUUUAGUCUCUAAAAUCGAAAUAACAUCUUUCAAUUUUGAGCUUCGGUUUGAAAAUAGAUAUCAAUCACAUCCCUUAGGGACUCCCUAACUAUCUAUUAUUACUAAAAUUUCACAUAAAUUUUGAAAUUUAUUCACUUUAUUCCUUAUGUACAAAACUAUCAAAUAGAUUUUACAAUCUAGUCCUUUUUCAUAUCUAAGCUUAAAAUCUAUCAAUUUAACACCAAUUUCUUCAAGAAAUCAACAAUGGAAACUUUUAAAAACUUUAAUAGUUUUACAAAUUGGUACAUGGUCUAGCUAAAUCAAGCUCUCAUGACCUCAAAAACAUAAAAAUUAAAUGAAAAUAACUUAAUUGAACUUAAAAAUUAGGGGUCGAAUGGUUGAAGCUUCCUUAAGGUUUUAUUUCUUUCUUUGUAUGGUGGAGAAGAAGAUGAAUAGAAAAAUGACCUUUUCUUUCUUUAAUUUAUCUUAUAUAGUAAAAUUAGUAGUUAAUUAACUAGGUUUAAUUAAAUUAAUUAUAAUUAGUUUAACUUAAUCUAUCACUAACAUUCAUAAGUGGAAUUUUACAUCAUAUUCCAUUAACACAUAUUAUACUAUGGUUUAAUUGUCAUUUUGGUUCUUUGGCUAAUUAAAAAUCUAUUGCGAUAAGACUUUUACAAUUUAGUCCUUGUACCUUAAUUAAGUAAUUAAUAGGAAAAAUUGAAGUACUAUGUAACACCCCAAACCCGACCCAAUCAUUGUGGCUGAAUUUGGAAAGCUACAUUGGCCACCAAAUGUCCUAGAAAUACUUUUGUAAUUUCAAACGUACUUUUUAAACCAUUUGCGCAGUCCGUUCAAAAUUAGUAAAAUUGAAUGUUCAACUCACAUUUCAAAUCCAUUUGUCCACAAAAAUGGUCGAAAUAAUCUUUCGGAGUUUUGAAAUAAAUAUUUUAAAACUAUUGGCUUAUCAAUUCAAAACAAAGAAGUAAAGUGUUUGUUUUUGUUUCGUAAAAACCGUGAAAAUUUCAAGAAUCAAAAUAGUUAAUAUCUCAAUUGUAGACAUUCAAUAAUUUAUUCAAAACUAUUUCGGGUUUUCAAUCAUACUUUUAAAUAAUUUGUACAUUAACUUCAGAAAUCAAUUGCCUUUAGAAUUCUCAUUUGUAAACAUUUAUAAUUUUGAGAACUAAGUCUAAUUUUAUUAAAAACUCAUUUUUUAGAAAUGAAACAGAAAAAUAUAUUAUUGCCAGAUUUUAGUUUUUAAAAACUGAGUUUCAUAAGAAAUCUUAUCAAAUACUAACUUAUGCAGUUUUUAAAACUUAAUGUCCUGCAAUCAAGUCAUGCAAAUCAGAAUAAAAUCCCCAAAGUAAAGUCUCAUGUCACAGGUCAUACUCAAACUUAUUACAAACCCAAAAUAUCAAAAUGAAAUUUAAUUACUUUAAUUUUAAAAAAACUUUUGAUAAACUCCUCCAAAUGUCAUCAUCGAAUCCUAACAUCGAGUUUAUCUGUAAAAUCAGAAAAUUAAAAGGUGUGAGCUAUAAAGCUCAAUGUAAGAUUAACAUAAACACAAUCGCAUACAUAUAAACAUUUAAGUUAUAAAAUCAUAAUAAUCAUAUUAGUUUCAUAUAACUCAAUAUUUCACACUUACACUAUGCAUGAUCAUGUCAAUGUACAUUUCGUAGAACGAUGCAAUUUUUUAUGAAAACAGUCCUACCCAUCUUCCCUGUACACCAAACUCGAGUUCGUAAAAACUCAUCCAUCUGAUAACACACCAAUUAGUGAAUAGUGUCACAAUAGUGUAGAUAAACUACCACAUAAUCAAAAUCGUGGAUAAGCCACCAAAAUCGCAGAUAAACUGCCAAUAACUUCCACCUUUCACAUAUCCCACCCCAUGCAUGUGAUAUGGCCAAAAUCACUUGAAAUCACAUAAGCAUGUUUAACAUGCAAAUCACAUAUGUACACAUGGUACCAAAAUUUCAUAUUUUAUAAAUCAUGCGAAAAUCACAUAUGGCAUAAGAUCACGGAACAUGAAAAUGAAAUUUACAUACUUUUCAAUCAAUAAUAAUCAUCAAUACCAUACAACAUGCUUUUCACAACAUAUACGGUUUGGAAUCACUUACUUGACAUAGCCCAUAACAAUGAGUUUUAUCACUCUUUAUGGAUACAUAAAGUAUCCUCAUAAAACAAACAUAAUUUAAAUAAUGACGAUUUUAUCAGUAUAAAACAUAAACUUAAUUAACACACACUUGAUCGUAGAUCCCAUGUGAAACAACUCUCUAAGAACGCCCACACUUGGAUCUAACAAAUAGAUUACCUAAUCAAUCAACAAAUUGCGAUCUUAUGUUAAGACUACCAUUUUGAAGGUAGAUACGAUAAGUUAGUUAUCGAUUUCUAUGAACACUUACCCUUAAAAAAUAAUCACUCAGAUUAGUGAUUUCGAUCCCAACGUUAAUGGUCUCUCGGAUUGGUGUCGGUCGACCCUUCAAUAAAUAUGACAUACAAGACUUUGAUACAUGAGAAAAAUAUUUCAUUAUGGCCUUUUGAAAAAUAUUCGGUUAAGAGAAAAUUAGGGAGAUUUCUACUCAACCCUUAUGCUUAUACUAACUUGGUUGAAACGGGAAGAUCAAUGGAUCAUCUUGAUCACAAAUUAGAGGGGAAAGAAUCAUCUAAAAAAGAAGAUUAUUUGAAAGUAAGUUCAAGAAAAUAAAGUUUAGGAUUAAAAAUUAAACACAAUAAAUAGUGCAUAGUUUUUUAUUACUAAAAAGAAUAACGAAGGUGGAAAAAUGAAAGAACAGGAGGAAAAAUCUCAACCGUCAACGGUGGUGCUGCGGCGGCGGCGAUAGCUUGCUAAGGGUUUGAGUCAAAUUUGCACCAAAAAGAAAUUAAUGAGAGGAAAGGUAUUCAAACUCAGAUCAUCAAGGGCAGCUCCGCCACUACUCAGUCACUAUAGUUGAUAUUUAUUUAUUAUCAAAUGAGCAAAAUAUUAUCUAAAUAAAAAUUCGGUUGUAACCACUCUUUGUUAAUUAACCCAAUUUCUACUAACCUGAUUUUUGGGAUGUGACAGACUAAAAUUUAAUAAACUUUUAUACCAACUUCGUAAAUAUUUAUAUUUAAUACUUACGAACCCAAUUUACGGAAAUGGGGUUCUGAAAUAGCCUUUUGUCAGCACCACUAAAAAUUGGGCUAUUAGAAUAUUGAUGUGAUUUUGAUAUUGAUAAAUUUUUUAAUUGUGAUUAUAGAUUAGAGAUGUCAACUGAAUCAAGAAAAUCAGUUGAAGAAGAAGUAGAAAGUUGUGUUUCAAAUUUGAAUAGAGAAGGGAAUGUACCUACGGCUAAAAAUGAUCCUAUUGAGUCGAGAGGGUUAAGAAGGCCUCCAAGGGAAGUAAGACUCACACGAGAAUAAGUACCUAUCCCAGAAGAAAGGCCCACAUAAUAGGCUUUCUUCUAAACAAUGAAUUAAUUCUUUCAACAGUUCAUGAGAGUUGGUCUUCAAGCUCCUCCUCUGCCACAUUCACUUGCUCCUCUCGUGCAACCACUUACACUUGAACCUCAAUCAUAGCCUCUUGUCCAGAAUCAAUGAUUUAUUUUAGGGAGAAUUAGAAAGUAAUAGGUGAAAUAAUUUAGAGGGAGAAAAGAAGAUGAUCCCAUUGUUGCUGAAUAUUGGUUAGAAAUAGUAAGCAAGUAUUUGAAGAAUUGCAAUGUCCUAAUGCAAAAAAGUUGAGAUGUGAUGUUUCUCUAUUAAAAGAAUAAGUCUACCAAUGGUGGACUACUAUGAGAAGUGUAAAUUUGGCCAAAAGGAUUAAUUGGAACUUAUUCUUGACAGAGUUUAGGAAGACAUAUGUUGACCAACUAUAUCUUGAAAAGAAUAAGAGGGAGUUCAUUAUUUAAAGCAGAACAAUUUGCCACAAGAAUAAUAUGAGAAAGAAUUUGUUAGAUUGAGUAAGUAUGCAAGAGAAUUAGUGGCAAUAUAAGCUAAUAAGUGUGCAAUAUUUGUGUGGGGACUUAAUGAAGAUACUUUUUGUUCUUGUGACAACUUUGGGGUUAAGAGAUUUUUUAACACUUGUUGAGAGAGCUUAGAGAAUUGAAAAGGGUAUUAAUAGACAUAAAGAAAAAGGCUAGGUUAUGUUGGAAAAAUCCCGGUUAUGUUUGAAAAUAGUUUUUUUGCACAAUGGAAAAUUAAAAUUUCGAAAACCGACAUAGUUUGUGAUAUUUAUAGCAAUAAACCUUUACUGAAUAUGCCAAUAUGUUUUCUGAUAAGCGGAUCCUUGAUGUUUUUUUACUUUCAACCAAACGAUCUUCUCCGCUAUUAUCAUGCCACGAAUUGCUUUGAAUGUGGGCUCGAACCAAUUGAAAGAAAACAUAGAACUUCAAAAAAAAAAAUUUUUGGUGAAAAUGGAAAUUCUCUUGUUUAAUGGAAAUAGGUAAAUUUGUUAUUUUGAAAAAAUAUAUUUAAAUUUUGAAAAUAAAUUCUCUCUAUAUUUUAGCAAAAUAACAAUCUCUCAAAAGUAGUGUAAAUAGCUCUAUUGGUGCCAUCUAUUUAUAGAAAGGGAAGGUAGAAUCCUUGUAAAGUUGUAGAAGUUUAUUUUCACUAGAAAAACAAUAUCCUAGUUUAUCUAGGAUAUAGGGGGCGACAACCCUAGUUAAUGAUUGAUAAAGAAUGAGGCAGAUGAAUGCAAAAGUCGAUCGUAAAUUUUGUCAAUGUUGCGGAUUUGACUUAGGGAUUUAGAUGUUCAGAAAGAAACUUGGAUUUUGACACAACCUGAAACGAAAUCGAAUCCAAGUCAAAUAAAAAAUUAAAAUAAAUAACUAAAAUAAAAUAAUCAAUCAAAGAUUAGAAUAAUAAGGAAUCAAGUAAAGAAGAUAAAUGGAAAAGAUAGAACGUGGUGUGUAAAAGUCCUAAGAAGCCUUAGAAACACGAAGAAUCCACAACCCCCUUCAAGCGACUCUAAUUUCCCCUUCAAGAAAGUCAACUUGGCAAGAAAAAUUUUGAAGACGAUCCCCACAAUUUGAAAAGAUCGUUAAAACUCUUCUAAAAGAAACUCAAGAGAAAUUCUUAGAAAUAAAAUUCAAAAAGAAUUUAUUAACUCAAACAAGAAGUUUAAUAAUAAUGAAUUGAAUUAUUUGUGUACAAUGCAAAGGCUUAUAUAUAGGCUAGCUAAAUAAAUCUAAAUACAAAUAUUUUGUAUACUAGAACUCUAAUUAACCUAAACAAGAAUUAGUUUUAAACUAAACUUUCUUCUUGACAUAUCUUGACAUAAAACUCCUAAAUAACUUAAACUACUUAAUCAUUAUUAAAAAUUUGGAAUAAUAAAAUAAUAAAAUAAUUAGAGCUGAUAAAUACAAUAUUGGGCUCAUACAUAAUAAAAAUUAAGCCCAAAACUUGAAUCCUAAAUGAUUUAAACUCGAAUUAAAAUCCCGUAACUUGUAAUUCCUAUCAUAAUCACGUCCAGAAAUUUUGGUCGCGCAGUCUUUAUUAAAACAAUCAUAACUUGAGCUCCUGAACUCAAAAUUGAGUGAUACAAAAUGCAUUUUGAAGCUAAGAGAUAGAUAUUUGAAUGCCAUGAAGACAUCUCAACCCAAAAAUGCCCGAAUCCCAUCCAAAAAGGCAUCACAAGUGUGCUGAUUUCCCAAAAUUAAAAAUUGGUAGCUUUGGUGAAUGGAAUCUAAUAAAUUUCACCCCAUCUGUGCAUGUAUCAUUCCCCCUUUCCUCAAAAUGAAUCUUCCUCGAAUCUUGUCUUUGAUCGAAUAUUCAUUUGAUUUUCUAGGGCUUUAACAUUAUUGUUGGGCUUUGAGGUAGUGUGAGCCCUUCACAUCCACGGGUCUGAAAUUGGGCCUUGAGACUCGCAUCAUUCCCCCUUCCUUAAGAAGAUUCGUUCCCGAAUCUUCAGUUGCACAAAAAGAAAAGGGAUUAAAAUAAAUAAAAACAAAAUAAAAAAAUACUUACCUAAGCUUUCUUUUGCUCCAAAACUAUAUCCAAUAUCAAAGAUAUGAUUUUGAUCUCCCAAAUCAGCAUGGAUCAUGUAUCUCUCCUUUAAAAACAAACCAUCGACACUAAAAAAAGAAAUAUUAGACACAUGAGUAUUCAAGGAAAAAAUAGUCUAUAAUUGUCUUUGAGUAUACAUUGUCAUCCAUAAGAAUUUCCAAUGAUGAGUUAAGAAUUUCACAUAAUUAUAAAAAUCAAGAAGGUUAAGAUUAUGUAAAAAUUUAUCGUUAAAUGUCAAAAUAGAAAAUUUUGUUACAAGAGAAAAUAUAUAAAAUGUUUUAAUAAACCUAUCUAGUGCAACAUAAUUACUAUUUUUAACCUUUACAGAUCUAGAUAAACCCAUAAAAUCAAUUGAACUUUCAGACCAAGGUUUAAUGAAAUUUGACCAACGAGAAAGCAUGUUGUAAGGAAAAACAAAAUUAGUAGCAUACUUAUCAAAACCAAUCAAGGUGUGCCUUCUUAAAUCAAUUUCUAAUGUUUCCUUACUUUUCUUACUUUGUAGCAUUUGUGGAGAAAUAUCAAUUUUCAACUUACCUCUCUCCCAUAAGUAAAAUUGUCUAUCGAUGGUAGAGUAAUAGAAUUGGAAGUCUGUCAAUGGAUUCUUGAAAUCCUAUAAUAAAGAAACAUCACUAAACAAAUUUGAGUUAGGGUUAGUUAAAACAUAAUCAUUCCUCACUUUUGUAUGAUUAUUUCUUUUUCCAGUUGAGAACUCUCCAAUUUUACCUCAUAUGGAUUUUACUCACCAAAUUUGGACCAUCAAGUAGACUUUUAUCACUCAAGGUCUCUUUUCUCUUUGUUUUUUCACAUAAUUCUUCCUCAAUUCCCAUAUUCCCCUCACAAGUAUUAUGAAUAUUCAAUUUAGUACAAUAUAUCUCAAUAGAAGAACCUAAUGUUUGUAUAUCAUCUAACUCUAUAGAUUCAAGGAAAAAAUUUAUCAUUAUCAUCUUUUUCCAGUUCACAAAGUUCGUUAUCACAAAUCGUUUUACCACUAGAGUAAGAGCCAAUAAAAGGCACGAAGUCAUACUUACUUUAUUCUUUAGUUGGAUAUUUAAUUGGACAUUGCAAACCCUCAUGAUCUUUUGAACUAAACCAAUAACAUUUCACAAUAAGUGAGAGAUCAAUUGUACUCCUUUUGUUUGGUCAUCUAUUCUUGAAAUACUUAUCAACUGAUCGAUUAACUUGAACAUGGUGUCGACAUUUAGUUUUGACCUCUUUGUAGUAAUGAGAAGCGUAAUUCUUUCGCAUCACUUGCUUCAACUCAUCCCAUGUUUCAAUUACCCUUUCAUAUUUUUUUUGACAAUUAAUUUCAAGUUGAAUCCACCAACUCAAUGCAUAAUCCGAAAAUCCAAGGGCCGCCAAUGAGACUUUUUCCUUUUCCGAGCAUUUAUAGUGACGCAACAUAAGUUCAAUUUUUUAUUCCCACUCACAAUAUGCUUCAGGAUCAUACUUCCCUUAAAAUGGUGGAAUGUUGAACUUUGGUUUAGCCACAGAAGGUUGGCCUUGAUUAGGAAUACCCAAAGUUUCAUCAGUGUGACGAUAUCCUCGUAUACUGUUAUUAGAACAAAUACCAAGUUGUUCAUUGUCCCCAUCAUCAUCACUAUCAUGAGCACGAGACUAUCGAUUCGAAGAAGUUUCCAAAUGAGCAACAACUUGAGUUAGCAUUUGAAUUUGAUUGGCAAGCUGAUUAAUGUUCUCUUUUUGUUCCGUUCGAUACUAAGUCAAAUUUGCCUCAAUUGUAUCACAUAACUCUUUCAAUUGUUGAUAUCGAUAAUUAACCCUCCCCAUAAUAUUCUCAAAUGUAAUAUCUUGUUCUUUGUUAUCGGAUGGUGUCUCAUCAUGGUUUUUACGAUUACGAGUGUCAAAAGUCAUUGUAAAAGCUUGAAAAAACACAACACUCAAAAGAAAAAUUAAGCAAACCUCACAUUUAUGCACUCAGAAAUAAAAUAAAAUUCUAAAUGAGAUAAGAAUUAAUCUUGUGAGUAUUUUAAAAGUGUCUAUAUCAAUCAAUCAUAAUGUAUUAGAAUCAAACUACUAAAGCAAACCUAGUAGCACUAGGAUUCCAAAAUCGGCUAGACCCCAAAGAAUUAUGUUGCUCGGAGGAAGAAAUGUGCAACGUGCUUUAACCUACUAACACAAGAAACAAUAAAGUGUUAGAAUGUGUAAAAAAUAAUAAAAAGAAAAAACAAAGGGAAACCUAAGGCUAAGAGUCAAUGAAAAUUGCUGAAACACGAAAACUCAAAAAUUGUGGAGCAACUUGACAAAAUUCGUUCGAGGUGUUCCCGAUGUCCAAAAAUCACGAAAUUAAAACUAGAGCAUCCUCAAGUAAUGCAGAUCUGAUCUGGAAAGUUUCGACACAAAAUUCAACCUACACAAUAUAUUUUAAUUUUUUUUUGUAUUUUUGUAUUUUAUUCCACUUUUUCAAUCACUUUUUUUUAAAAUAUUUUUUAUAUUCUAAAAUAGUGCUAAGAAGUAAUAUAUAAAAUUUUAGAUUGUUUGAAAAACGUUUACAUACUGUUACGAAAAUAACUACUCAGUGCCCGUCCAAUGACCUUGUCAUUAGUGUGUUACCCUCAUAGGAUGUCCUUGAUCUCUUUGGGAUAAUAUCCGUUCUCCCGAUAUGAUCCUAUUUUAUCUCAUGGUAACCAUUACAUCUUCCUUCAUGAAAAGUUAAUCACUAUCAAAUAGUGAUCAAGUCAUUCAUCCCAAAGACAGAAAACCCGUGGCCACAUUUACGUUUCAUCAACCAUGUAAUGCCAAUGAAAAGAUGUCAGUUACCCAUUUUUUGGGCUAUGAAUUCCACUAUUGUGAACGACGCUAAAUACUAUAGAAGUCAUACACCCAACAUCUUUCAAUUCCUUAUCUAUUUGAACCCAAGCUGUUACUUACAUCAAAGUUUAUGAGUCACACAUAUAUAGUUCGGCAUCUACUUAGGAUUUAAGUAUGUCACACAAUGAACAUCACAAGUGAAUAAAUCUAAAAACGGAUUUAGGAUCUAUUCUGCUUGGCUCCUAUCUAAUAUACUGUCAGUCCAGUCAGUUACAUCUAUGUUUCUAUCUUCUGGGAGUCAUUCGCUCCAAUGUCCAAGGCAAGACAUCUCUCCAAUUAAACUUGAUAGACGACAUAUUAGUCUUUCAAUCGAUUUGCUCAUUUUCUAUUAGACUAAAGACAUGUUUAGUUCAUCUACUAACACAAGUUAUCUUUCUGUACUACGAUCUGACCAAGUAACAAUGCUUAGUAGUAGUUAAACAUUUAGACAACCAAUGGGCAACAUUUAGUUUUCUUUUGCUUUGCGUGCAAAAAUCAUGUAAGGAAAAUAAUACAAAAUAUAUUAAUUUAAUUCAUGAAUUAUUUUAUUAAUCAAUCAAUUUGAAAAAAAUUACAAGUUUACAAACAAAUAUACUAUAUUUAGAACACCAGAUCCAACAGGUUAAGUGAGUAGCAACUAGUUCAUUGCCACCACCUUCAGCCAAGAAAGCUAAUAACUUUUGAGGAUCGAGGUACUUAUCUCCUUUUCAAAUACAAAGGCAAAUAGGACAAGGUAGACAAACUCAACAAGCUACCUCAGUUGCAAGUACUGGGGUUCGGGGAAAAGACCUACACUAACUUGUGCACAUUGUGGAAAAUUUCACAUAGGUGAGUGUAAGAAAAUUCCUAAGGCAUGUCUUAAAUGUAGUUCAAAGGAACAUAUGAUAAAUGAUUGUCUGAGAAUUACCGAGGAGUCUAUAGAACAACUUGUGAGAACUACUUCAACAAAAUAAAAGGGUAGAAGACCUAGUGCUAGUAGUGGGGUUAGUGAAAAUCAGAGGUUGAUGAGAGAAGCUACAAAUAGACCCAAGUCUCAAGCACUAACAAGAGCAUAUGCAAUCAAAACUCGAGAGUAGUAUUCAAUCAAGUUUGAGUCAAAUUUCAAAUCAAAUACAAGUUCAUACUUUUUGUUAUGCAAACUCAACUCGAUUCGAUUACGAUAUUUUUUUUGGUGAAAGAAAUGAAAAGCUCUACAAAAGACUAGAGAGACUCAAAAGGAGUCAAAUAAUUGUAAACCUGCCCCUCUACCAAAUACAAACUGAGCAAUGCAAUCAACUUCAAUAUUUUCUUUUCUAGGGGUAUAUUCAAGAAACCAACUCUCCACUUUCUGCAAGAGCUGAGCAAUGAGCUUGGUUGUUGCUAAAUUUGAACACUUCAACAAGGAUUCCUUGAUAGCCUCAUUAACUUUCAUGUUGUUUGUAUGUACUAAUAUUUUAUCAUAACGUAUUUAUUACAUCAACAACACACCAUCAAGAAUGCCCCACAAUUCGGCUUCAAAUAUUGAAGAAGUCCCCAAACGGCGAUUAAAACCAAUUAUCCAUUUCCCAUUGUGAUCUCUCACUACCCCUCUUGCAGCAGCGCAUCCUAUGUUUUCCACUAAACCCACCCUAGAUAAUUGCCUCGUAGAACCUCCAUUGCGAACAACAAAAUAUUGCUUAGCCUAGCUAUACGCAUUUUUGACAAUUUCCACAGUACUCUAUGACACACCCUGAAAGAUGCAAAUAUUUAUGUUCUUCCAAAUACGCCAAGCAAAAAUGCCAAAGAAGCUCGACCAAUGGACAUUCAUCAUAACUAAAUUAUGACGAUUUUGCAAAUUAGAAGCAAGCCAAUCCUUUAAAUUACCUGAAAAGAAAUAAGCCUGCUUUUGAGGUGGAAUGAUUUGAGACCAUACAUUGUUUUUGCAACACAAUCUCUAAUAGCAUGAAUUACAUCCUCUAAUUCAUGUCCACAGAUUGAAUAUCUCGCAUUGCUACCAAUUCCACGCCUUAGUCGCUCUGCCCGAAAGAGCUUUAGAUUCCACAAUCCUUCUUUUCUAACCAUAUUCUUAAGGUAACAAUCAAAAGCAAAGUUUGCACCAACUAGAAUUAGAUUGAUCAAGGGACCAAUCUACAGAAUCCAAUUAUCCCUCCAACACUUAAUGUUGUUACCGUCCCCAACUGACCAAUAAAUAUUUUCUCGAAGCACAUGUCAUACCUUAGACAGAGCUCCCCAUAAAAAAGCAAUUAUUACGGAAGAUGCCAUGGGGUAAGCUUUCCUUCAUUCCAAAAUUCAACCGUAGGACACGAACCCAUAGAGCCUCUAAAUUCGCAAAAAUAUUGAAACUCAACUUCAACAACAACAAAAAAAAAGAAAUGUUCUAAUCCUUUAGAUGCCGAAUCCCAAGUCUUCUACAAACUUUUUCCUGGCACAGCAAAUUCCAAUUAACAAGAGUCAUCUUUCUGUUACCUACAACAGAACCCCAUAUGAAUUGUCUAACAAUAGUUUCAAUUUCAUCACAUAUUCCUUGCAAGAUCGUCAAUAACUGCAUAAAGUAAUUAGGAAUAUUGAGGAGAACCAAAUGUGCUAAAGUGAUUCUGCCAGCUAAGGACAACUGCCUCGCAUCCCACUUUUGCAACCUAUAUUUAACUUUUUCCUCCACAAACCUCAAGGCAGUGAUAGUAACCCUUUCGUGGAAGAGAAGAACUCCCAAGAAUGUUUCUAGGUUAUGGACUUUAUGAAAACCAAACAAAUCACAAAGAUGCUUUGUCAACUCUUUAUUCACCCCUUUAGAAAAGAAAAUAUUUGUCUUAUGAGCAUUUACCCAAUGUCUAGAAUAACUACAUAAUUCGUCUAACAUCUCCUUAAUUAAAUGAGCCUGGCUUAAAUCAUCUUUCUCAAAUAUAACAAUAGCGUCAGCGAAAACAAAUGAGAAAGCGUCGACCCUAACCUUGAUAGACGAAUGGGAGACCACUGACCUGAAUUAAUGGAUGAACAAAUGCACUGUCCCAACCAUUCCAUGCAAAGUACAAACAGGUAAGGUGACGAAGGACACCAUUGCCUGAUACCCCUAAUUGGACUAAAUUUCUAAGUGGGCACACCAUUCCACAGGAUCUGUAUAGUUGAGCUCAUGAUGGCCGACAUAAUAACUUUUCGGAGGAAAUCUAGAAUGCUUGCCACCUGAAUGGAGACAUCUAUAAAUUCCCAUCCCACCUUGUCAUGGGCCUUCUCCAAAAUCAAUCUUGACGGUCAUCCAUCUUUUUUGUUUACUUCUCAUGGAGUGGAUAACUUCUUGGGCCACUAUGAUAUUGUCUAUGAUAUUCCUACCAACAAUAAAACUUGUUUAUUCUAGACCAAUGAUCUUAGAAAAAAACCACCUUAAAUCUGUUUGCAGUGAUCUUCAUUAUCAGCUUGUAAAGAAUUGAACACAAGCUUAUUGGGCGAAACUGUAUAAAAUUUUUAAGAUUCUUAACCUUUGGAAUAAGUACAAAAAAGAUGUUAUUAAGUUCCCUAUUUAUAGGCUUACCAUUAAAAAUUUUCUUAGUCAAUAAAAAUUCAAUUGAACUAGUAAGGAUUAUAUUUUAUUAUUUAUUAUAAUUAAAUUAAAUUAAAUUUAAAGCUUGACUUUUUAGUUAUAUAUUAAAGACGAUAUUAAUAAACCAUCCCCCAAAUGAGAUUCUGAACUUUGUCUAUCAAGAUAAUGUUGUUUUACUCCUUUGCCCCCCACCCAAAAACCACACGAUAUUAUUAAGUUAAAUGUAAUUUUUUUAAUAGGGUUAGAAAUUAAUUGAGUAUCAAUAGGAAGAAUUUAUUUUUUUAUUAAAUAUUUAUUAUUUUAAUGAAAUUUUUGUCUUUUAUAUAAUUUUUAAAUGAAAAAAUCAAAAUUACUAUACUCAAAAAUUAAAUAUAUGUUGAAUGGAUUUAUAAAUAAGUUCUUUAGCAUUACACCAAUAAUAAUUAUUAAAUAAAUUUUUAAAAUAUAUUUUUUUCUAUAAAAUGUUUUCUUUCGCCCACAUUGUGUAUCCAUACUAUUUUUUAAACCUUUAAUUGGGUUGGUAUCACGAGUCAAUCGAGCACCAACCCGGUUAGAGAAAUUACAAAAAUUUCCUUCCAUAUUUAAAAUAAGCCAUAUUACUCGAGAGUAUUUUAGUCUUCCUUUUUUUUUAAUAGAAAACCAAUAAAAAAUUUAGUUUUGAACCCAUUCAAUUUGGGUUGAUAAAAUAUUAAUUUUACCAUUAAACCAAAAUUUUAAUUAAAUAUAAUUUAUACAUUUAAAUUUCAUUAUGUAUACUUUAUUACCCCGAUCAAUUUUAUAUGAAUAUUAUUAUUUAAACUCCUGACUGAGUUAGUAUCACAAGUCAAUCGAACACUAACUCGAUCAGGAAAGUUAUAAAAAUGCCUUUCCAUAUUGAACCCCAUUUGAUGGUCUAAUGGUCAAAGAUAUUCAUUGCCCCAGAUAUGGCUUGGGGAUCAAGUCGCGCUAAUUGCGUUUGUUGUUUGGGUUUUACCUUGUUAUUGUAAUUCACCAAAAAAUAAUUAAAUUUUUAAUAUUGAAUUUUUACCAACAUGACAACUUAUUGACAUAUUGCAUGUGUUAUUAUUAGUUUCAAACAAUACAUUUUAUUAUUUGUUGUAUGUUAUUUUAAAUGUAUACUUAUAUUCUAAAUAUGUGGUCCACGCAUAUACAUGUGAUAGAAGUUCUAGUCUAUACUAUUAUUUAAGCACUAAUUUACUGAGUUGAUGUCACCAUUAACCAGAUCAUUAACUCAAUUAUAAAUUACAAAAAUUUAUCUUCUUUAAAAUUAUAAUUAAGAUUAUUAUGAUGUCACUUUUAUCUUUCCAUACUUUUAUAUAUCUUUAAAUAAAAGAAUUAAAAAUUAUAAAGCUAAAGAUCAAACACCUAUUUAAUAGUAUUAAGAUACAAAUUUAUUAUUAUUUUAAACGCAUCAUAGAUGCGAUCCUAUCUAGUAAUUUUAAUUUUCUUUGUUCAAUGUUUAAACAUAAAUAUAUAUAUAGAAAUCAUCAUUCAUCAAACUCAUCUAAACAUUUCGAUCCAAUUUUUCAACAUUUUGCAUGAUACGUUGUCAUUGAGUGAUUUCCUUAAUAUUUCCACAAACUUUUAUAUCAAAUAUGGAUAAUUCCAUCAAAGAUCUCUCAAUUAUUGCUUAAAUUUUAUAUUGAUUCUCAACAUUCUAAUUUAACUCUUAAAAUAUUAAUAUUAUGUUAUAAAUGUCAUUUUGGAUUCCAUGCGAAGCAUUUUAAAAUUAAAUCGUAAAUAUGCGUAUAUUUAUUAUAUAAACGAUUUAGAUUUGAUGUGUUAAAAAAUAAUAUUAUUAAAAAUUAUGUCAGAUCCAAAUAGUUCAUUUAGCAUAUACAUGUAUAUUUAUAAUUUAACCUGUACAUUUUAAAUAUUCUUCCUGUAAGAUUUGAGCUAGCAUUUAACGAUCUAGCUAAUGGUGAGCUAGAGUUGAGCAAGUGAUUAUUUGGUCAAUUCAGACAAUUUUUCCAACUUAAACAACUAUCAUAUACAAAAAUCAAACUGACUUAUAUAGUAUAAAGAAUAAACCAACACUAUAUCGACUUAAACAUUUGUUAAUUAAGUUAAUCAACCAAUUUAUGUAAAAUAUAUUCUAAAAUAAUGAAAAUAUAAACAUAUUUAACAUAUAUAAAUCAAAUUAUAUAUAUUAUAGAAUAUAAAUAUUUUUAAAAUAAUUUAAAAUAUUAAAGAUUAAGCUGGUUGGAUUCAUCGAUUUGAUUAUGAAAUUCAAUAUAAUACUAUCGAUUUCUACAUUAACCGAAUUGAUUGGUUAAGUUAAUUUUAAUUUCAAUUAAGUUGGUUUUAAUAUAUUUAUACUCUCUCUAGGUGAGAUUGAUAGAAUGACUUGAUUAAUAUGGUAUUAAUAUUUUGAGUACUCAUUUAAAAUAGUUUGGUUUAGGGGUGAAUUUAAAGCCUAUGGUUGUUUGGUGAAAUUAACCUAGGGGAUAAUUCGGUAAUUUGAAGAAGGAAGAAAACUUGGUGGCGACCGAGCAAGAGAACAAAACCGUGUUGACUGAGCUCGAUUGAAACGAGGACUUUCCCUGUGGAAUAAUUUGGCAUUGGCCAAGCAUUUUGGCCUCGGCGUGGACGUAAGGAUUGGCCUAGUCUUUGCCGUCUUUUCAAAGACAAACAAAAACUUCCAUAUUUCACUUUCCAUGUCUCUCUCCACUCUCCUUCCAUUUCAAUUCAAAUAACCAAACAAUCUUUUCAUUUACAAACACCCAACUCAUCUCUUCCAUCUCCAUUCCCUAAACUUUUUCUCUGCAACUCAAGGUUCACCAUGGACAGAGAGCAAGAAGAGAUGCAAUUCCUUGGCUUCUUCGGCAUUUACAAAGAAUCCUACAAAGUCAUCAUUGCAUGCAGAAAAAUCUUCAGCAAAAUCACACUGUCUCUAAUCCUUCCCCUCUCUUUCAUCUACCUCGUUCACAUGGAAGUUUCCAGUCUUCUCUUCAGAAAAAUCAUACACACCAAGGUGGAACUCGAUGAAGCUCAAUCACCCGCCAAAGCCCAGAAACUCCACGACCUUAUCUCCAACGAAAUGGCUUACUUUUGGCUUUUCAAAGCUGCUUAUUUCACCCUCUUUUUAAUCUUCUCCCUUCUCUCAACUUCUGCCGUCGUUUACACCAUCGCCUGCAUAUACACAGCUCGAGAACUCACCUUCGGCAAAGUCAUGAGCGUCGUUCCCAAGGUCUGGAAAAGGCUCAUGGUCACUUUCCUCUGUACUUUCCUCACCAUGUUUGUCUAUCAUGUUAUGGCCAUUUUCAUCAUGGUUAGUAGCGUGAUUUUAUUACUAGGCAGCGAUGCUGUCGAUGCGGUGUUGGCUGUUUUACUGGUUUUGUACUUCGUGGGGUUCCUUUAUAUGACCAUAAUCUGGCACUUGGCUAGCGUUAUCUCUGUUUUAGAAGAGUGUUAUGGGUUCCAAGCCAUGUUGAAGGGCAAGAAUCUGAUCAAAGGAAAGUUAUGGGUAGCCAUAAUCAUCUUUUUGAAACUGAUUAUCAGCUUGGUCAUCAUCCAGGCAGCGUUUCAGAGUCUGGUUGUUCAUGGAAGCAGCUUGGGGAUAGCUAUGAGGGUUGUGUAUGCAAUUAUUUGCUUUUUGUUGCUUUCGAAGUUGAUCCUGUUUGUAUUAGUUAUUCAGACGGUGAUUUACUUUGUGUGCAAAUCAUACCACCAUGAAAACAUAGACAAAUCAGCCUUGUCGGAUCACUUGGAAGUGUAUUUGGGAGAGUAUGUGCCAUUGAAAGCCAAGGAUGUUCAGCUUGAGCAAUUUCAAGUGUAGGCUGACUCGAUGAUUCCAAGUCAAUCAAUAAUAAAAGUAAUUGAAUGGGUCAUGUUAUAGUUUUUCAUUGUAGGCCUUAAGAUACAUGUAAUUGUUGGCAUUUGAAAGCGCUUUGUAAUUUCAUCAUCAAUGGUCUUUUUUUCUUUUUCCAAAUGAAUGGUUUUCUACACUUAAAAAUAAAUAUGUUAAUCAAUUUCAAACCAAAAAUAUUUUUUCUCCUUAUUUCAUGGACAUUAAAUGAUUUUUGUUCAAACCUAUGUUAGCCACUUUAUCUUCUGUCUUGCUCCUUGCUUUUCUUUUUUAUUUGACUUCUUUUUGGUUAUCAUUUUUUAUUCGACUUUAUUUCAAAAUUAUAAAAAUAUUUAGAAAUAAAAAUUAUAAAAAUUAUAAAUAAUUAAUUUUUAAUGCAAAAUAAUUUUAAACCAUUUUAAUAUUCCCAAAAUUAUGAAAAAUGUUCAAAUUAGAAAACCAAAAAUAAUUUUUGAUAAUUUAGAAAAUAAAUAAAAUUUUAAAAAAUUAUUUUUUCAAAAUUUUCAAAAAUUAUAAAAAAAUUCCAAAAAAAUAUGAUGAAAAAAAAGUAUAGUUAUAAAAAUCAAAACAAAUACGUGAUUUUUGAAAUUUUUUUAUGUAUUAUAUAUUAUUUAAUAAAAAUAAAUAAAAGUUCGAGGGCCAAUACCAAAUAAACAAGUGUAAGAUACAAAAUGACACAUGAAGUAAAGGUCGAAAGUUAAAUUUAUCAUUAUAUUUUUUUUUUGGUUGAAGUUAAUGGGUCGGAUUUAGAUGUACAAGAUCUAGUCGUGAGUUUUUAAAGUCAUAUUGUUGAAUCAUGAUUAAGCAUGUUAGCAUUGAGUUGCUUAUCAAUUGUAUGUUGAGUUCCAACUAAAGAUACAACUAAAAAAGUAAAUAACAGAGAUUGACACAACAAUUUGUUACACAAUUUGACAUAUUUUCCUAUUGUUGAAACCACUUUUUGAAAUUUGAAAAAUGGGGAUCGACGUUUAAAAAUAAAAAUGGGGAGUCGCCAUCGAUCUUUUGUUAAGGUAUGGCCGGUUCACCGUUAAAAAUGAUUUUUUUGGUCUGCGAAUUUUGAGAAAACAGGUUCGGGAGUCAGUUACGCACGAGGAAGGCUUAGCACCCUCGUAACGCCCAAAAUUGGUACCGAAUCGAUUGUUUAAUGUCUUAAUGUUGAAAUUUUGAAAAGAUUUUAAAAUACGAUCCUUUUAUUUUAGAUAAAAUGAAUUGGACGAUAGGAUUCACUUAUUUCAAAGAAAUAAAUCGUCACACUCAGUAAGUUAGAGUGCAACAUUUUAAAUCCUCAAAAUUAAAAUUAUCUCUCGUCUUUUAAAACCUAUGCAUUUUGAGAAGGAUAUCCGAUUAUCUGGGUCAAAUGAGAAAAUCAAAACCCAGUAAGUUAGGGUUUGAUUUCACAAAAUUCCUAAAUAUCGAACAUUGCCUUUUUUUUUAAAUCCUCGUCUCAAGAAAAUAACAUGUCAUAUCCAAUGUGUUAGGACACAACGUGUCGAAUUCCCGAGAAUGGGUUUUUAUUGGAAAUUUGUAUGUUUAAAAAAAUAUUCGAUUAUUUAGAUUCGACGAGGAAAAUUGGAACCCAAUACGUUAGGGCUCAAUUCUCUCGAGGAUUCCAAACUUUGAGUAUUUUUGAAAGUUUUUGAAUGAAAUAACUUUGACACUUGUAAUCUUUUGAAUGAAUAACGAAAUAACAUUGUACAUCGGAAAAAGCUAAUUUACAAACUAAAAUCAAUACUAAUGAGUUACAAAGAAUCAAUUCAUGCGAAUAAGUUAUACAUAAGCAUAAAAGCAAUCAUACCGCGCAUUAAGCCAAUAUUAAUAUUCAUAUUAGAAAGGUAAAUGAAUUAAAAGGUAGUUAGGGAAUCAUCCAACAAAAACAAAAACAAUGAGAAAAAAUAAAAUAUUUGAAAUCGUCAAUAAUAAGUUAUACGUAUAUGAAUAAAGAAUUAAAAUGAAUAAUAUAUUUGCAAACUUGAAAUAUUCAAAAUAGAAAAGAAUGAUAUACACAUUUUAAAAUAAGUAAUAGAUGGAGUGGAAAACUUAAUAUAAAUAAAUUACACAUAGUAAUAUAUAAAAGAGUUGAAAUAAAUAAAAUAUAUGACAAAAUAGGGUUUGAAAGGAAUAAGUUAUUUAUAUAUAAAAAUAUAUGAAAGGAUAUGUAAUAAUAUGAAAUCGAUAAUAUAUUAUGUAUAUAUAUAUAAAAAUAAUUUAACACAAAUUAUAUAUAUGUAUAGAAAAAUAUUAAGUAAGAAUAUUAUUGUGUAAAUCUUAAAGCAAAGAACUAUAUAAGUGUAGUUAAAAAUGUAUUAUAAAAUAAAAAUGUAAAAAGUGUAUAAAUUAUAUUGAAAUUGCAACAAGAAUGCAUAAGAUUGUACAUGAUAGAUUUAAAAUAACGUUAAUGAUAUGUUUAGAACAAUAAUAUGCUAUAAUAUUAAAAUAAUAUUGUAAUAAAUUUAAAAUAUACUAAAUUUAAUCAUAAAAUAAUGCUAGAUGUAAAAUUAAAUAUGUGUGUAAAUAUAUUUAAAACAGAAUAAUAAAUUUUAAAUAAAAUGAAAAUCAAGUGUAUUAAAUUAAACAAGUAUGGAUUAAAUUAAAAUAAAGAUGGAAUUGAAAGGAAUAAAUGAAAAUAAAAUAAAGCAAAGGGGGCCAAAUGUAGCACACGGAUGGCUUGGGGGACUAAAUGGGAAAUAAUCCCGUCCCUCCAAAACGCGGCGUACGACCUGGGCCAAAAUGAAAUAAAAGCAAAAUCAAACAUGAAAUUCAUAAAUAAAGAAAAAAAAUUGAUAUGAAAACGCCACGAAGGAAGGAGGACCAAAUGCGCAAAUAGACCAAAUGCCCAAAGUGCGCGGAUCCUUCCCCGGAUCGGGUCACCGUGCGGGUCGCUGGCCAUUAAACGGUGCCGUUUGUUGUCCGCAUAUAAACUAAAAAAACCUAAUCAGUUUCAAUUUAAAAUCAAAACCUAAAAAAAAAUAUCCUCCCUACGCGCCGUUUUGCGUUCUGAGAGCAUCCGAACGAUCUCCGAUCCCAGCCUCUACUCCGAUGACGACGGAGAGAGCUAGGAUCGGCCUCAAGGUAACUCUCCCUCCCCGAUAUCUUUCUUUUAUUCUCCUUUGUUUUACUUAAACGAAAUGAGAACAGAAGCAACAAAGAAAAAUGAAAAAAAACCAAAUCAGAGAACAAAUCACCUUUUUCUUUUCAAUUUUUUUUGUUUCUAUAGAUAAUCUCCGUCUGUGUAACCUUUUACAAAAUUUUGUAAUGGCUUUAUAUAGCUCGAAUUACAGAAAGAAAGAAAAAAAAGAAAUCAAAAUAAAAAUCAAGGAAAAUCCUCGAAAAUCCCUGAAAAUCCCCUAUGUUCCUUUUCUGUCCAUUUUUUGCUGCUCCCUUCGUGUGUGUGUGUUUAUUUUCUGCGCAGGUACAGGUACGGAGACGCCUGAGUGCAGAGGUUAGCAUGGAGCGGCUACACGCGCGCAGGCGCAACACGUGCAAGGAGAAGGCCUGGUGGUUGCGGCUCUAGAUGCUGCAGAAACCCUAAGGUUUCUUGUUUUCUUAGCUUUGGGCCGAUUGGGCAUUUUAGAUAGUGGGUUAUGCGGUUAUUGUAAUUGGGUUUAGUGAUUGGGCUGUUUAAUUGUUUUUUUUUUGGUUUUAUUUUACUAACGAGCUAGGCAAAAAUGGGCUCUUACACCUAUGUUUGCGGGGCCUUAUCAAAAGAGUAAUUAACUAUAAAUCAAUCGUCCAAAUUUAUGUUUUAAAUUAAACUCACUCAUUAAGCUGCAACCUCACACAUAUACAUCAACUAAGAUCACUAUUCCACUAAUAAUUUAGUUACAAACCCAACGUCAAAAUAGUUUGAUAAUAAAACAUUUGAAAAGACUUUGUGGGAGUUCAUAGCAAAUGCAUGAGUCCGAGAGACAUGGUUAGCAUGAGGAGAUGACUCCAAAGGAGUUUUAUCAUGCUCAAUAAUCUUAGAACUUUAGUUUUAAAACUUUUGGAUAUAUUUGAAGUAAGGAAUCAAAAUUUUCAUUGUUGGCAAGUUGUGAAGGCUUUCCAUCAUAAUUAUCUUGUUGACCAAUGGCAUUGGUUAUAAACAAAUUAAUAAUGUCACCGCUAAUCUAUUAACUUUGGUUAAUGCUAGCUCAAAUAUGAUACGAAACAUAUUUAAAAGGGCAUAUUAAAUUAUAAACACUCGUAGUUAAUAACCUCUUGGCUAAAUGGCAAAGGUAUUAUGUUGCGCAUGAGAAUUUGGGUUUCAUACCAAGUAACCCCAUUCCUCUCUCCCCAAUUAGAGUUUUUUUUUUUGAAAAAAAUGUUGUUUAAAAGUGAUUUUUUGUCACAGCGGAAAACUAAAAUUUUGAAAACUAAGUUGGUUUGUAAUAUUUGUAGGAAUAAACUUUUCCGGAAAAGUAUUUGCGCUUUGUGCAAGAUGGAUCCUUGACAUUCCUAACUUUCAACUGAAUGACUUUCUCCGCUAUUCUCGAACCACAAAUCGCUUUAAGUGCGGGUUGGUGGAGGGACCAAUUGGACAUAUAUAAUUAAGGUUCAAAUGAUUUAUAAUUAAGUUUCAGCCUUUUGCCUAACAAUUAUAAACUCAUUUAGUCACGAAGUGGUUCCACUAUAGUAUCGUGGCUGAGCUCUUCCCAAUUACAUACCAUUACGAAAGAUACUCGAUCAAUGCUCACCCAAUGACUAUAUCAUAAGUGUGUUACCCUCAUAAGAUAUCUUUAAUCUCUUUGGGAUAAAUUCGUCAUCCCAAUAUGAUCUUAUUUUAUCUCAUGGAAACCAUUACAUCUUCCUUUAUUAAAAGUCAAUUACCAUCAAAUAGUAAUUAAGUCAUUUAUCACAAAAACAAGUGACUUUUGGUCAUGUUUACUUUUCAUCUAGCAUGUAAUGCCUAUGAGAGGAUAUCAUUUACCCAUUUAUUGGUCUAUAAAUUUCAUUAUUAUGAAGGAUGCUACAUAAUGUAGAAGUCGUACACCCAACGCACCAACUUUCAGUUCCCUAUCUAUUUGAAGUCAGGCUUUUCCUUACAUCAAAGUAUACGAGUCACACAUACAUAGUCCAUCAUCUAGUCAGGGUAUGUCACACUAUAAAUGCCACAAGUGAAUAAAUUCAUAAAUAAAUUUAGGAUAUAUUCUACUUGGGUCUUGUCUGAUGUACUGUCAGUCCAGUUAGUCACAUCUAUAUCUCUAUUUUAUAAAAGUCAUCCACUCCAAUGCUUAAGCAUCUCUCCAAUUAAACUUGAUGGACGACAUAUUAAUCUUUCAAUCAGUUUUCUCAUUUUCGAUUAGAUUAAGAACAUGUUUAGAUUCUUCUACUAAUACAAGUUGUCAUUCCAUAUUAGUUAAACAUUAGGUAGCUAGUGAGAUAAUAUUUGCUUUAAUUUUCCUUUGUGUGCAAAAACCAUUAAAGACAAUAUACAAAUGGUAUUAAUGUAAUUCAUGGAUAAUUUUAUUAAACUAAUAUGUUCGAAAAAUAUAAGUGUACAUAGACGAAAUACUACAUUUAGGGCACUAGAUCCAAAAUUUUGAACAAGUUCUUAGAUAACAAGCUUAAAGGUUUUUUAUUGAUGCUAGUGGCGCUAUUGAUUGUGACAUUGAUCCAUCGUUUUAUUAGUGAGCUAUCUCUCUAAGGAUUGUAAAAGAUGUUCCAUUAAAAAUAUUCUUGUUAUUGCUUAGACUCAUGUUCCCCAAAGUGGAUCCCACUCUAAUAGCCCUGAAUAAAUUAAAUACAUGUAUUAAGAUAUAAAAGCUUCUUAUUCCACAACAAUGAAAUCACUUAUUCACUCUUUCAUAUACUAGGGGAUUUCUCUUGGAAAAGAAAAUGUUCCGUACUAGUGGAUUCGAGUCCAUAACCGUGGUUCCAAUGCACGAGAUCUUGUAGAACUUACCAAUGAGGCCCUAUCGAUUAGUAUUACACAGAAGAAAUCAAUUAUAAACACUAAUACAAUUAGAUCUGUUUUUCAUAAACAAAUUUGAGAUUUGUGAUCCCGGGUAAGAUCGAUAUAUAUAUAAACAGUUGUAUAUCUACCACAUAGACAAUUUGGAUCUGAAAUGGUAAAAAAAUGGCCCUUCAGAUUUCAUUGACAAUAUAUGUAUUUUUAACAUACCAAACCUAAGUUAUACAUGUAGUAGGUAUAUAUAUGUAUAAAAUUUGAACAUGUAUUUUAAGUUUGCUUCAUAUCAAAUUUGAUAGACAAUUGGAACUCAACUAUUGAAAAUAUCAUUAAACUAAAAAGUAGUAGAAUAUAAAAAAGAUGAUGGUUAAUGAAGGGAAGUCUGGAACGACAGAGGAUGCGAGUGGCAAACAAACGUUGAAAAAUGUGCGUCGUCGAGAAUAUGAAUCACCAGAUGUAGGAAAUAAAGAGAUGACAGGGGGAAGGGGUUUCCUUUCGUUCAAAGCAGCACUUACUGGUAGUGUUUGGAAUUGUGAAAAGAAGGAUGACUACGAGUGUGACGAUUUUGAACUAAAGGAGGGAGAUGUCACUACUACCAAUAUCGAUGGAUGUCUAAUAUCUGGUUCUCAAAAAAUGUCACACCCCAAAUCUGGCAUAUCCGAUUACAAGACGUGUACGUGUGAAGUUAUUUAUUUGUCGUAAUGUAGUCCGCCUAUUAGCCGUUUCUGGCGAAUAAAAGCUGGCGUAAAGUUUUCUUCGUAGAAGUUAUUAAAGAUUCUAUCUCAGGUUAUUCAGCUAAUUAAGAAAAGAUUAUGACUAGUGAAGAGUAAGUCUGGUGAGAGAUACCGCCAAAUGUAUAGUACGCCCAGUUUGCUUGAGCACUAGGGGUGAGCAUUCGAUUGAAUCAAAUGAAAAUAUUUUGAGUUAAUCGAGUUGACGAAUCAUAUUUUAUCGUCCUAACUCAAUUUGAAAUUUUCUCGAAUCGAGUUGAGUGAGAUGGAAUUCGAAUCGAAUCGAAUCAAAUAUAUUUGUUUCAGUUAAAUUUUUAAAAAAAAACUUUAGGUCCUUGUAACCACUAUCACCUACUGUAAUCAUAUUUGCCCACUGUAAUCAAAUUUGUUAUUAACUUUCAUCCCCUCAUAAUUUAUUUAUUAAUCUUUUAUAUACAGGUUAGCUUAUUUGCUUGCUUAGUUGCUUCAAUUAUCUUCUGAAUCUUGUCACUAUGUAUUUUGACAUUAAAAAAUAUAUUAAAUGUAAAAAAUGUUAUUUUUUUAAUAAAAUUUAUCUUAAAGAUAAAAUGUGAAAUUGAUACCAACAUAAAAUUUUAACACGAAUAUUUUAUGUCAUCAUCAAUAAUUCAAUUUUAACAUAAAUUUAUAAAGAUUCAAUGUGAUUAAACAAUUCAACAAUAUAAAUAGUACAAAAUGUGAAAUUUAAUUUAAUAAUAUAAAUAGUAUAUAUAAAUAAAAUUAUUACUAUUUAGGUUUAGGGAUUGUUUUGAAUUAUUUUGAUUUUUUAUUUGAGGGUAAAGGGUAAGAAGUAAAAGUUUUGGGGGGAAAUAAAAAGUUUUGGGGGUUUAGGGAGUAAAAUUUUGGGGGGGAAUAAAUGGGGGAGUAAAUUUUUUGGGGAGGAACAUUAAAAAAAAGUGGGGGAAAUGGGUUUGGGGUAGACUGGGAGUGGGAUGGGAGUAAAAUUUUUUGGGGGAAAGUAAAAUGGUUUAGGGGUUUGGGUAGUUUAAAAUUCAAUUUAUUCGAAUUAUUCAAGUUAUUUUAAUUUAAAAGCUCAACUCGAUUCGAAUCGAAAUUCAAAAAUUCAAGUGGACUUAAAUAACUCGAAUAACUCAAUUCUUUUAACUUGAAAUUUGAAGAAAAAAAUUAUUUUUUCGAGUCGAAUCGAGUUUUGCUCACCCCUACUAAGCAUUGUGCUAAGCGGGUUUUGUAACGUGAUUUGGUUAAUGAUCAAUUGAAUUGACUGGUCAAAUAAUAUUCGUAUAUGAUCCUCAAUUAUAUUUCUCUCGAAUUUUGUAAGCCAAUUAUUAGGACAAACUCUAGAUACAUAUGAUAUAUGUUAAGUUCCACUGAAGGGAACUGGAUAUAUAUAUUGUGAAAAGGGUUCGUCUGAAGGGUUUUGCUUCAUUCAAUACAACUUUCUGGUUCUUCUUCUUAAACUUGUAUGUUUUUUUCUCCUUUAUUAAGCUCGAAGUUAAGGUUUUCGAAUUAAUGAGUCGAUGUUCCACCUUCUAGUAAGUCUGAUAACUUUGCAUAUUAAGUUUUUGAAAGAUUAAGGAUAUUAAGAAGCAUAUGAACAAUGAAUUAUGAAUAAAAGACCCUAUACGGGGGUCAAUUGUAAUUGGGAUGUUAGCAAUUUGCCUGUAUAUGGGUUUUAAUGGUGGUUCCAUGUUCUUUAAGUAGUUGUUUCUAUUGGUUCAAGAAUGAUAUUAGAGUUUGGAAUUCCAAGCUACAGUUUAGGUAAGUAAUAGGUAAAUCUCUAUCCCGGCUCCUGUAUGUGAAUAGUAAAAGCAUAGAUAUAUAAGAUGAUAACCUCUCAGACAAUUGGUAAGUGUGUAUGUGAAGUUUUGUAAAGAUUGUGCAUGUGUAAUGAUGUUAUGUGUAAGGUAUUGUUUAGGGUUUAGGGUUUUAAUGGUAAGUAAGCAAGUGAAAAUUUGAUAUGAGAAGGUAAGAAUCAUUCAGGUAUGUGAAUAAGAUCUGAGUAAGUAACUUCUAAGUGAAAACCUCUCUUUGUGAUGCCUCUGGUAAGGUAGACAUAGUGCUAACCAGACUGGCAGAUCACAAUAUGAAGGUAUGUGUAAGUCCCUGUGGCUGAGACCCAUGGCAUUAUAUGACAACGAAAACACUUAUGGUGUUACCUCAGUAAGAAGAAGACUGGACUGAUAGAUCACGACAUGAGGAUGUGCAAGUCCAUAUGGCUAAAACCUGUGGCAUGAUAUAAUAAGAAGAAGACUCAUGGUGAUGCCUUCAGAAAUAUGUAAACCGGAUUAGAAGAUCACGACAUGAAGUUAUGUAUAAGUCUAUGAGGAAGAAACCCAUGGCGCCUUUUGUGAAAGUCUGCCAAGACAGUAAACACGUGAUUUUGUAUGUUACCUAUGUGGCGUGAUCCUAAGCCUUAGUGGCAUAUUUUGUAUUACCUCUAUGACGAAUCCCGUAAUGCCUAUGUGGUGUUUUCGGUAGUGUGUGUGUGUGGUAAAUUUUGGUUAUUCGCCUUUUUGUCAAAAUCUGGGUAAGUUUUGAGAUUUCUUAUAUUUAUUCAAUAACUAGUUCUAUGAUAAAGAUCUGAUGAAUUUGAAGAUAGCUUGGUUUGUUUGAUCUUGUAAUGAAGGUUAAUAAGCUUUAAGGGGAAUUUUCUGAAUGAGAAUAUGCAUUUGUAAUCUUAAAGAGAGUACCUGCCCUAGUAGCUCGUCAGUAUAGGAUAUGUGGCGUAUUCGUAUAUGUGAAUGGUCAAAGUGUUCACUAGACUUAGUUCAUUUAUGUUAUGUAGUGGUGAUGUCUGAUAUCUAGUAUCCACCAUAUAUGAAUAGUAUCAUGCCUCAUCCUAGGGAUAUUUGAAACUUGAGUUAUUUGUCAAUUUGGGUGUUCUUGUGUUGUUAAACAUAGACGUUUGAGAUUCUUAUGAAUGGAUUGGAACUUUUCAUCAUCAAUAUAAGCUUGCCUUAGGUUUGAGUCAGGGUAUGAUCUGAUUGAUAGUCUGAUAGUCAUUCAACUUAGUAUGAGAAUUCUCCAAAUGUAGGUUCAAUUAGUAAUUGUCCGCCAAAGAAUAGUAUAUGUGAAUAACUAUUCUAGGAAAAUGUGAAGCGUGUGUUUGAAGAGAAAAUUUGCUAGAAGUGGGUUCUGUAUGGAUAUUCUAUUAGGAAUUAUGUUGUGUUCUGGAAAGGAAUAAGAUCUAUAUCGACUAGUAAAAUCUGGAAUCAAUUAAGGGGUGAAAUGAGAGUGAGACGUUAGGUAAGGAAAUUGGUGUCUAUGUAAAUAUCCAGUAUUAUAAAAGUAUCCGCCAAAGGCAGAGUUGUAAUCCAAAAUUUUAAGAUGAGGAUUUUAUCUCGAACGUUUUCAAGGUAUUUGUAUUCAAACUCACUAAGUUCGCAUGAACUUACAAGUGUUUACUCAUGUUUCAGGUUCUGUUGGAAAAAAAUGAGUUUGCCAGGAAGGACCAAGCCAGGAACUCGCCAAUGGAGUAGUCUGAGUGGCGAUAUUGUGCAUACAGGGGUUCUAUGGAGCAUAGAGAUAUUACUUUACGCCAUGUUAAAUUUUUUCUUAGUGCAUUUAAAAGUUGUAAUAAGUCUGUUGUAUUCUUAAGUACUUCUUUUAUUUUAUCAGUGGCAGGACAUUUAAAAUAAUAAUAAGAAAUGUGUUUACGCUUACUGUUUUGUAAUUCUUCUAAGUGUUUUUUGUAUAGUAGUACCAAAGAUUUAGACUCGAUAAUUUGGGUUAGUGAAGGCGUUAGAAAAAAAGUACAUUCGUUGAUCUAGAAAAGUAUGUCAUAGUCCGUAAUCAUCGAAAUGCUGGGGAGAAAGGUUGGGUUUAAUACGUUGAGUAGCAAAUUGUAUUCUAUGUGGAAACCAACCCGAAGCUUUCAUCUAAUGGACUUGGACAAUGAUUACUACAUUGUUAAGUUUCAAGCAAAGGUUGACUCUGAGAAAGCGCUUGUAGAGAUGGUUGUGUAAAGUCAAUACCUAAUGGUACAACCUUGGACACCGUCGUUGAACAUACAUGAAAGUUUCUUAAUGCGGGUGGUGGUGUGGGUUAAGUUACCAUGCUUUCCAGGGGUGUGGUACAAGAAAUGUCUAUUGGAGGCAGUGGAGAGUACAAUCGGGCAAGUUGUAAGGGUUGAUGACAACACGGAGAAUGGGUAUCGAGGACGUUUUGCUAGGAUAACAAUGUGUGUUGAUUUUAGAAGGCCAUUGAUAACGAAAAUAAGGGUGUAAGGUAAGGUUCAGAGGGCUGAAUAUGAAAUUCUCCUUAAUGUAUGCUAUGAAUAUGGUUGUUUUGGUCACGUGAAGGAGGGCUACCUGAAGACUCGAGCGGAAAAAGGGACUGAGUGCAAUAAAAAAGAAACAGAUGAGCAAAGUAAAAUACCGGCAGUGAAACAACCAUCUACGAUGGAGUUUGAUAGGUAAGACAAAAUUGAAGCAUAUGGUAACUGGAUGAUUGUGUCUUGAUAUCCUAAGAAACAAUCAUGAAAAUCUGUAGCUAAAAUUAAUACACAAAUACUGACUAGUUUGGGGUCUAGAUUUAAGGUGAUUGCCAACUCCAUUUAUGAGGAAGAUGACUCAUAUGGGCAGAUGGAGAAUAAUAUGUCAGUGGGGGUUAGAAGGGAUGAUGGACAAGGACUUAAGAAUGGUAGUGGAUAUUGGAGCCUUUAGUUUUGGUUGGGCCUGAGGAAGCAAGUGGAUCAUCAAAGGAAAAAUCUAUUUUGAUGAAUGGGGCUAAAGUUGUAACAGUCUGUUUUUCAGUGGUAUCAGAAAUAGUGGUUUCGAGACCAUAAAUCUGAUGAGUGAGUUCGUAAAUACUAUUAUUUAAUAUUUACGAUUCAAAUAUAGUAUUGUAUUGAAUUAUGAUUUAAUAAUUUAACCUAUUUGAAUGAAUAGUUAAUUUCAAGUGAUUUUGGAAAAUAAAGUAUCGGGAUCUCAUUUUUGUAAACCAAGCCCAUAAAUAUUUUUUAUUAAAUAUUUACGGAGUACAUAUAUAGGUGUAUUGAAAUUUAGUCCAAAAAUUUAGUGACUUGUUAGCUAAUUAAAGAAAAAUGACUAAAUCGUAAAACUUAAUCACUAUUGAUUAAUAUUGGUUAAUUGAGCUAAAAAGUGUUUUUGCAAGGCUUGGAAUGGCAAUUAAGCCAUUAUAACUUAUAAUGGACAAUAGUUGCGUAGUUUUAAUUGUUUAAGUUAAAAGUUUUUAUUUAAAAUAAUAUUAAAAAUAAAUUAAACAUAAAAUAACAAAAGAAAAACCUUACCAUCUUUUUCAUUUCUUCUCUCCCAUCAAAUAUGCCACUAAGGAAGAAGAAUUUGAAAGUUUCAAGCACCCUUAGCAUUCGGCCUUUUUCAUGGUAUGAAAUUUAAGCCCGUUUUUAGUAAUUUUUAUGUUUUUAAUAUCAUUGUAGCUUAAUCUAUCUAACCCAAGAACUAAUUUGUGAAUUUUAUAAAUGUUUUGAAUUAUGUCAUUGGUGAAUUUGUGAGUUUUUGAAAUAUGAUGAUAGAUUUAUAAGCUUGAUGGUUAAAUAGGAUAAUUUUGUAAAGUGAUUUUGGUUGAUUUUUAAGUUAAAUGACUAAUUUGUUAAAAUAGUAAAAUUACAUGAAAUUUUUGUGAAAAUAUAAUAAAUAUGGGCUGUAUGGGGACUAUGGAAAAUUCAGUUACCAUGAUUUGAGUUAAAUAUGUUUAAUUUGAUGUUUCAGGUUUAGGGACUAAAUUUAAUAAAAGGUGAAAGUUUAGGGUAAAAGUGUAAAAUGUUGAAAAAGGGUAAAUUACAUGAAUUUAAGUAUUUUAAAGUAUUUUAAUUGAAUAAUUUAAUUAAAUUAUUAUAUUUAGGUUAAGAAAUGAGUCAAUCGUAUAAUAAUCGCAGUAAAAGAAAAUUAACGAUGUAAUCAUUGAUGUUGGGUUCGUGGUCGUUUUUGGAUUUGGUAAGUUUGUAACUUAGUUAAAUUAAUUAGUUGUUGUUUUUAUGAUAUAAUAUCUCACUAUAUAAGAUGUGAUUGAGUUCCUUUAUUUGUUUAAGUGUAAGGAACGAAAUGGACUAAGUUGAAAUGUUAAUUAAAUUAAAGGUUAUGUUUAAAAAUGGGAAACUAUAUGGAUGAAUUAUUGUGAUGAAAUAAUGUGUAUAUGACUAAAUGGUAUAGAUAUGAAACAUGGCCCGUAUGAACCUCAUGAAUGCUUAGGAUACAAAUGACAUGUCAUUAGGGUUAUUUUAGUUUCGGGUGUUGGCCUUGGAUAUCCUACCGAUGGUUGAGGUCCUGCAUUUGUUACGGAUCCUCCAUAUCUCAUGUGAGCAUAUACAGUUACAGUUACAAGCACACUUUGUGUGAGCAUUGUUCCCACGUAUUCGACGUUAUUUCAUUUGGUUCAUCGGGUGUUAAAUGUAUAAAAUGAGGUGGGUAACACUAAACUGUUAUAUAGAAUGAGACAUUGAGUGGAGAAAUUGAUAUGAAUUAUUGAAACGUAAUGUGAUUUAUGAAAGGAUUGUGUGUUAAAUGUAUAAUACGAAAUGGUUAUAUGAGAUGUUUAUACAAAAUUGUUAUAUAAAAUAGAUAUACAGAAUAAUUAUAUGAAUCAGUUAUAUGGAAAAUAAUUAUAUACAGUGUUUAUACGGGGUGUUGAUAUGAAUAGUUAUGUAAAAAAAAGGACAUUUGAAAUGAAAAUUUGAAAUGGAAAUGUUAAAUGUUAAAUGAAUAGAUGUUGAAUGAAUGGUGUAUCAAAUGAGUUUAUUUGUAUAUAGUUUAUGACAUGAUAAAGUUAUAAGUUUUGUAUAUGUGAGCUCACUAACCUUGUGAGACUUGUGAUAUGUAUAGGUUAAUAAUGAACUCAUGACCUUACUUAUGAAUUUAAUUGCAAAAACUCUAGGUUACAACAUUUUACGGUAAGUUAAAGUUUAAUACGAACUUACUAAGCAAAUAUUUUCUUACAUCCAUUUUAUUUUAUUUCUUGUAGAUUAUCGGAAGCUUAUGCCGGUUGGAAGUGCAAGUUGGAGCUCACACUAUGUAGCACCCCUAAUCCGUAUCCGUCGUUGGAUUAGGGUUACAAGGCAUUACCUAACACAACAUAGUCAUUUAUCAAAAUUCAUGUCUACUAAUCAUAUCUCAUAUACAAACCAUACUUCUUUUCCGUGCAAACCAAUUUCACAAUACAAUUCAUACACUGAAAUUUAAACCAAGUCAUAACCAUUCUACUAUUCAAAUUUCGAACCAACUAACAUACAUCAAAUCAUAUUACAUUAUAACAAAACACAUCCACCAACUAAAUCAUUACUCAAGCCGAAUUUUAUAACCAAACAUUAUCAUACAUAUAUACCUCGAAACAUACUUCCCAAAAGAGCUUAUAACAUGACCGAAUAUACAUAAAAAUUAGUAUCUCUAACAAGCCAUUCCGCAUGGCAACUUAUAUACAAUUCAAAAUUUUCCAUAGUCUAUACAUGCCAUAUGUCAUAAUAUCAAGCUUUCAAAAUACCAAAAUGGCGAUUGAUAGUGUGACGAUAAUCCUUGACGAUCUCCGAGCUCGAGCUAGCUUUAUAUAUCUAUAAUACAAUGGAAGGAUGCACAAAGUAAGCUUAGUAAGCCAUAAGCAAAUAAAUCAUCUCAAUGAUAUUUAUAAUUCAAUUCAAUUAGGUCAAAUUUAAAUAAAUCUCAAACACAUAUACAUUUAAUUGUCUCAUAUAAAUUCAUAUUAUCUCAUUAAGUACUAAACUUACCUUAUUAUUUCAUGAAAAUAUAAACUUCACGCAUACCUGAACCAUUUAGCUCAAAUUCACAUUCAGAAUUGUUAAGAACACACAUAAAUCAUAUAAAGCUCGUACAAUGUCAUAUCCCAUAUAUGGUCUUACAUGUUAACGCAUAUCGAUGCCACUGUCCCAGACAGGGUCUUAUACGAAUCAUAUACGAUGCCAAUGUCCCAGACAUGGUCUUACACAUUUUCUCACUUUGGUGCCAAUGUCCCAGACAUGGUCUUACAUGAAAUCACACCUCGGAAGUCAUAAUAUCAUGACAUCAGUAUCCUAUACAUUUCCUAAGAUUCAUUUGGAGCUUUCGACUUCGUAAUUAAAUCAAUUCAUGCACGAAACCAGUCAUUCAAUGCUCAAAUCAAUUUGGCAAUGUAUGUAUCUAUACUUAAAUCAAUUCGGAAAUAUAUAAAAUAUAUACAUUUGAAUUCAAAAACAUUUAUUUACUUACGAACUUACCUCGUACGGAAACGAACGGAUUGCAUCAACUACUCGCCAACUUUCAAUUUCCCCCAAUCUAAAUCUAAUAUCUUUCUUUCUUGAUCUAUAUGAAUUUAAAUUUAACUCAUUUAAUCACCUAUUCAUUCAAUUUCAUCCAAAAAUACCUAUUUGGAAAAUUUUGCACUUUAGCCCUUAAAUUUCACAUUUAUUCAAUUUAGUCCCUAUUUCACAAAUACACAAAAUUUAUACAAUUCAAUAUAACCCAAGCUUAUCCAAAUUACUAUAGUGCCCCUAGCAGCCUAAAAAUUUCAUUUAUUUCACAUUUCAACCACUCAAUUUGCAUAUUUCACAAUUUAAUCCCUAUUUGACAUUUUUGUCAAAAAUCACUUUACAAAACAUAUUAAUCUAUCAACAAUUAUUCAUUUUCCAUCAUCAACAUUAAAAAAAUCAAGCUAUCAUCAAUGGCAACUCACAAAUUCAUCAACCAAUUCAAAAAUUAGGCCAUUGGCUAGCUAGAACACGAAGCAACAAUCUCAAAAACAUAAAAAUUAUUAAAAACCGAGCUUAAACCGUACGUUAAUCAAGCUAAGUGUUCAUAAAUGGUGUCUUUCUUCUUCAAUAUUCGGCCAAGGAAGAAAAGAUGGACAAAAUUUUAGCUUUGGUUUUAUUUAUUUUAUCAUUAAUUUACCUAUUUACUAAUUUACCAUUAAAAACAUUAGUAAUUACACCAAAUGUCACUCCAUCAUCAUCCACUAACCCACAAAUGGCCUAUUUACCACUUAAGAACCUUUACUUUAAUGUUCUAUAGCUAUUAGACACCUUUAGCUUAUAGAACACAACUUUUACAUUUUACGCGAUUUAGUCUUUUUUUACCGAAUUAAGCAUUCAAACAGUAAAAUUUCUUUACGAAACUUUCACACAUAUAUAAACACAUGCUGUAAAUACUAAAAAUAAUAUAAAAAUAAUUUUCUAAACUUAGAUUUGUGGUUCCAAAACUACUGUUCCGGUUUAACUAAAACUGGGCUGUUACAACAAGCACCACAACAAAUAAGACAAUUCUUGUGGCUACGUCUACAUGGAAGACUUUUAACAAAUGGUGAGCGAUGUACAAAGGGCCUAACAGAUGAUGGAUCAUGUUCUUAGAACAUGUCCUUCGACUCAAGUUGUAUGGAAAAGGUUAGUGCCUAAUUGUAUCUAUAAAAAUUUAUUUACAACUGAGUUUGAAUAUUGGUUACUGUCAAACGUAAAAAAAAUGUGCCAAAAACGGGUACCAAAUGGAUACAAUAGGAAAUAAUGUUUGUAAAUACCUUGUGAAGACUCUAGAAAAUAAUGAAUUUGGCUAUUUUCAUAGGUCAAAAUCUUAGUAUAGACAAAGUGGUCAUGACCAGUUUGUCUUGGUCUAAAGUAUUGAUGUAGGUGGCCUCUAAGUCACAACAGAUUGCAUCUACAUAGUGGGAAACUCCUCAGACAGGGUAGUAUAAACUCAAUAUGAAUGGGGGAGUUAACAUGUGAUUUGGAAGUCCGACGACGGGUGGGGUAGUAAGAUGUCACUAGGACGACUGGGUAUUUGGGUAUGGCCGCAACAUAGGCGUUAGCUCGAUCCUAAAGGCAGAACUUUGAGAAAUUAUUGAUAGGCUGAAAAUAGCUUAGGAGAAGGGGGUGUGUUGGCUGCUAAUUGAGAGUGACAGUAAAACAACAGUAGACCUAAUACUUGGAGUCAAAGUGGUGGGAUGCUGAGAUUGGCAUUGAAGGUUCGCAACUGGAUGAAUAGGAAUUAGCAAGUGAAGAUUCGGCAUGUACCACGAACAACGAAUAUGGUUGUUGAUGCUAUACACAAGGCACUAAGAUGUCGCCAAAUAGGAUUUUAUUUUUUCUCACAACCGCUUUUGGUGGUGCAAGAUGCAAUGUUGAGGGAAAAGUUCUAAGUAUCUAAUCUAUUGUUAUCGGUUGAGCAUUAUAGUUCAACUUCCUUUUGUAACUAAAAAAAACUUUAAUUAAUAACUAGGUUGACGGAAAGUAGAGGUGCUCAUGGGCCGGGCGGCCCGGCCCGGCCCGAAAUAUGGGAGGGUUUGGGUAAAAAUAUAGGCCCGAAAUAUGGGCUUGGGCAAAAAAACGAGGCCCGAUUAAAAAACGGGCCGGGCCUCGGGCACCACUUUUUUGGCCCGGGCCCGGCCCGACCCGGCCCGAAUACAAUAAUUUUUUUAUUUUUUAUUUAUUUUUUUUAAUUUUAAAAUACUUUUUUAAAAUUUUUUUAAUUUUAAAAUAUUUUUAAAAUAUUUUUAAUUUUUUUAAUUUUAAAAUAUUUUUAAAAUAAAUUUUUUAUUUUUGUUUUAAUUUUUAAAAUAAAUUUUUUGGUAUUUAUUUAAAAAACGGGCCGGGCCCGGGCUUAUGAAUUUUUUCUCGGGCCGGGCCUGGGCAAAAUUCUAGGCCCAUAUUUCGGGCCGGGCCUAGGACCCGGGCCGAAAUUUUUUUUCGGGCCCGACCCGGCCCAUGAGCACCUCUAACGGAAAGUCUUAAUAGAUAAAAAUAGGGAUAAAUUUUAAAAUUAUACAUAAACUUUAGUCUAAUGUACAAUUUUAUACAUGAACUUUAAUUUUGUGCAAUUUUAUACAUAAAAUUUUGAUUUGAUCCAAUUCUCACAAAUUAUUAACACAAUUAUUUAUAUAACUUUAUUUUAUGUUUUUAUAUUGCAUAUACAAAUAAUUAUAUUUAUCCAGUAUAACAAUAAAUUGAUAUUUUUUUAUUUAAAUGUCUAUGAUUUAAUCAAAAUUAAAGUUUCAUGUAUACAUUUGAACCAUAAUCAAAGUUUCAUGUGUAUAAUUACAUCAAAUUAUAGUUCAUGUAUCAAAUUGCACAUUGAAUCAAAGUUUAUGUAUAAUUUUGAAAUUUAUCCCAUAAAAAUACUAAUAUUUUGAAGACUUAAUUAGUACUUUUUAAAUUUAAAGACGAAUUUAAAAUCCAAAUGAUAAUGGGAGGAGCUUUGGUGGAAUUAAUUCAAUUUUAAUACAAAAGAAAAGGUGAAAGAUGAAACCAAAAUAAAACUUGCUUCACAUAUUCUCACCCCACAAUUACGAACCCUCGUCGUCCAUCACCGCUUUAACGACCCAAAUUGGAUCUCUUAAUGAACUAGUCCACAAGCUCGCCUCACUCGAAGGCCUCGCCAGCUAUGACUUAUGGUAAUCCACCCUCAACAAAGUUUUCCAAGCCCAUUCCCUCAACCUCUUAACCAACCCCCACGAUCACCUUCUCUAUCUUACCUACAACAUUCUCACCCUCUUGAAACUAUGUUGUUUCAUGGAUUCUUCAAACGAGCUCUACACUCUCAAUGAUUAAAACGACCACCCUCAACUUUACCCAAACCAGUUUGGUUCUAUGCUCCCUUUCUCUCUUCGGUUCAUCCAUUCUCGACUUCCAAUCAAGCUUGCUUAGGCAUAUCCAAGAAGGUUUAGACAAUUUUAUCGUUUACUUAAUUUUAUUCAUCAGAAAAUAAAAGAAAAUGAAAUGAAUAAUCUACAUGAUUCUGUAAAAAUUUGGAAACGAAAACAAUUUGUUUUGAAUAUAAAGAAUUCAAUUUAUAUUUAGAUUUGAUUAAGGAUAUAGUUUUUUAUAUUGAUUAGUUAGAUACAAUUCUAGUUUCAAAAUUAGAUUAUAUUUAAAUCGAGAUUUGAUUAAGAAUGAUUGGUAUUCGGUUUUGAGUGAAAUUCAAUUUAGGAAUCAUGUGAAAGAAACAAUGACUUGGUUUAUAUGGUGGGCAAAGAUUAUGUUUCUGUAGUGAAGAAUAUGAGAAGAGAGAAAAAUAAAUGGGAAGAAGAAAAAGAAAAAAAAGAAAAAAAAUUCAAUUAUUCAAAAAAAAAAGGGACUAGUUUUAACAAAUGGAAAACAUAAAAAAAUUAUGUUAAAAGUAAUGAAGAAGCAGAAGAAAAUAGAAAAUAAAGAAAAAAAAAAUUAAAAGAACAUAAAAGAAAAAAAUUAAAUGGCUCAAAACGAAAAAAAUAUAGAGACCAAUUAUAUAAUUUAACCUAAAAUUUUCAUUUGAAAUAAUGAUUUAACAUGUCACGUCAACUUAUUGUUAUACCAUUAAUGACAAUUAACAGCUUAGUGACUAAAAUUUUACAACACGAUAACGUAAGUGGCUAAAAUGUAACGUUUCAAACAUAAGUAACUAAAAUAUAACUUGAGGUAAACAAAAUUGACUAUUUUGGUAGUUUACCUAAAAUUUAAGGUAAAUUACCUAGUAACACUCAAUUUUUAGGACGUUUUCUUUUUUAUUACCUAAAAUGCAAUUUUUGUAAUUUCGUUACCUAACUUUUACAAAACAUAACUGUAAAUUAAAGAUAAAGACUUACAAUGAACAUACUUACACUUGCAUUUUAGUCACGUAAGUGUAAAAUCUCUAACGACGAUUAACUGUACAUGUUAUAUCAUACUUACACUUGCAUUUUGAUUACCCAACUUCUAGGUCGUUUUUAUUUUGGUCACAGAAAAGAAAAAACUUUUUUAAGUAUAGAUUGAGGUAAAAAAAAUCAAAGGAUAAAGUAAAAAAAUGGAUAGAAACUAAAAUAAUAUACAAAAAUUGUCAAAUUGUAUUUGUUUAUCCUAUUGCUGAAAAUUCUAAAUUUUUUAAUAAAUUUCAAAACAUAAAAAUAAAUUAAAUAAAUUGUUGAAUUUUUUUUAUCUCUUGAUAAUGUUAAUCAAUUUGUUACUAUAGUAUUGAAAUUAAUUAAUUUAAUCUCCUUCUAAAUUUUAAAAUUUUAUUUUAUAUUUCCAAGUUAUCCUUAACGGGAUCAACUCAAAUAACCCAUAUUUAAUAAUUGCCUACGAAGUUUAAUUUUUUUAUUAUAUAAUCUUGAAUCUUCCAUGCUAAACUAAAAGUAAAGGAAAACAAUUCUUACAAUUAAUUAAAGUUACGUGUUCUUUGUUCGGGUAAAGAAGUGAUGAAAAAAAUUAUGAGUUUUGUUUGGCAUGUAAGAUAAAAUUAAUUAAUUUAAUUGAUUGCAAGAAUUUUUCUUUGCUUUUAGCUUAGUAUGGAAUAUUUAAGAUCAUAUAAUGAAAAGAAAUUUGUGUUUCAUAGACAACUAUAAUAGUUAAGUUAUUUGAGUUUAUUUUAAUUUGGAAACAUAAAAUAAAUUUUAAAUUUUUAGAAGGUCAUUAAAUUAAUUAAUUUCAAUAAAAUUUUUCAGUAACUUAUUUAAUUGAUUUUGAUGUUUUGAAAUUUAAAAUUUUAAAAUUUUAAAAUUAAAAAAAAAUUAGAACUUUUAGCAAAGGGGUAAACAAGUACAAUUUGACAACUUUUAAUGUAUUAUUUUAGUUUCUACCCUUUUUUACUUUAAUCCUUAAUAUUUUUUUUAUCUCGAUCAAUACUUUAAAGAAAAAUAUAUUUUUUUGGGUGACCAAAAUGAGAGCGGCCUAAAAAUUGAGUGAUCAAAAUGACAGUGUAAAUAUGAUGUGGCAUGUACAGUUAACCGCCGUUAAAUAUUUAACUCUUGUGUGACUAAAACGAAAGUAUCUUAAAAGUUGGGUGAUGAAAUUGCAAGAAUUUCAUUUUAAGUGACUAGAAUAAAAGUGUCUUAAAGUUGGGUGACUAACUAAGGUAAUUUACCCUAAAAUUUAAGUAACAUAUUGUAAUUAAAAAAAAGUACAAGAUACAACUUAUAGGAUUAAGCUGACCGGAUACAAGAAAAAUGAUAAAAUAAACGAACAUUCACACUAUUUACUAAUCUUAAUAUCAUCAUGGUUAAAAUUUGUUGGAUAGUCACUGUACUUUGUCAAAAUUUAUGAUCUACUCUCUAUACUUCAAAAAUUUAAAAUCAAGUUCUUGUACUUUUUAAAUUUUACAUAACUUAGUCCAAUUAUUAAAAUCAUAAAUAUUUUUUGUCAAAGUUUGUCAAAUUGGCAUAGUGCCUUGUGCUCUUAUGUGAUGUGGCAUAUGAUUGAUGAAAAAUAAGUACCUUAAAUUAACAAAUUUUAAUGGAAAAUACCAAUGACAAAAAUUAUUGAACUAGGUUUUUUAAAUUGAAAAAAUUAGGAGGAUUGAAUUUUUAACUUUUAAAGUAUAGGGACUAAAUAUAAAAUUAUAUAGAAGUACAAGGACUAGCAGCAUAUUUUAACCUAUCUUCAUAAUUUUUACUAUUACUAGUCAACAGCUAUAAAGGCAGGAGUAAAUCAGCUAGCCUACUCUAUACCGCACCAAAGCCAAUCCCAAACCGCUUGAGCAAGUAAUCGAGCAGGGUCUUUUUUCUUUUUUUAUUAAUUUAAAAACGCUUAUUUCAAGCUUUGUUAUAGAGACCGACAGAAAAGAAGCCUAAUAGAAGAUUUUAGAUUCUUCUUUCUUACACUUUACUUUCUGUUUCGCAUUGAUUUUCUCUGGAAAUAUACAAAUCUUAUUCCUCCAUUCUUUUUUUCCAGAUCCAAAUUGCAAUAUCAAUAUCGUAGUUUUUAAGAUAUUGGAAAAAGAUGGAGGCAUCGUCGACGAGUCAACCUGAGUUUGACUAUUUGUUUAAGUUGUUACUGAUAGGGGAUUCGGGUGUGGGGAAGAGUACUCUGCUCUUGAGUUUUACUUCCGAUACCUUUGAGGAACUCAAUCCUACCAUUGGUAACCUUACCUAUCUUCCUUCUUCUUUAUUCUUUUUUGGUUAAUUUGUUUUUAAAAUUUUGAAGACCGAGUGAUUUGAUUUUUUUUUUCUUUUAGGUGUGGAUUUUAAGGUAAAGCACGUUACCAUUGGAGGGAAAAAGUUGAAGCUUGCCAUCUGGGACACUGGUAAACGUAGUCGGAUCCUGUUUCUUUUUCCUGUUCCAUUGUGUGUGUGUUUUUUUUAAGGAACUUUUUCCCUUUGAUGAUUAAGAUAGAAUAUAGCAUUAGAUAUUGAGUGGAAUUUUUCAAUGUUUAUUGCUUUCGUUUUAAGUUCUUAGAGCACAUUUGAGUGUAUUAUGCAUUAGAUCAUGAUAUUGGUGGAAGUUGCAAACUUCAUACAUAUACAUAUACAUAUAGGUAUAUACACACACAUGUAUUUGACAUGGUACUGCAAGUUAAUUUGAAAGAGAGGACUGUCUAAGUUUGCAAUCUGUUUCCAUAUUCCAUAUCAACUGUAGACUAAUUAUGAAUUUUCUGCAAGGAGCUCUUAUUCUCCUUGGACACCUCCUAUAGGAUGUUUGUAGAAUUUGGUAUUGUUUAUACAUUGUGUUUGUUUCGCGUAAAAUGAGUUGGUGAUUUGAAUAGAAUAAGUUGUUAUUCAUAACUUCACUUUAUGCAGCUGGACAGGAAAGAUUUAGAACGCUAACAAGCUCAUACUACAGAGGAGCACAAGGGAUAAUUAUGGGUAUAGUACUUCAUUCAUCUCUUGCUAGUGGUCUUCUAUUUACUUCUGUGGCACAUCAGUUGUUAUAAUUUGUAUCUGUGUUGUUAAACAUGACAAGCAUAAUGAUGCAGGAGGUCUUGUGCUAAGACUUCGUUUCAUCCGUGAAGUUUCUUUUCCUUCCUUCUUUGCUUCAAUUUUUUUUUUCAUUUUUAUCAGUAAUCAUACUUUUGAAGUUCUUAUUGGUAUUUGUUAGUUAUCAUCAUUAUUAGAUAUUCUGGGGUCAUGCUUCCUAUGAUGAAAUGAACUUCACAAUGAGGGUAGAUUGGGUCAUUUGGAUGUAGGGUUCUUUUGGUAAGGUGAGGAGACGUUACAAUUUAGCAAAAUGAGAUGUUGUGGAGAGAUAGCAGAGAGGAAGAUCAGAGCAGACUCUGGAAAACAAGUGCGAUGGCAGGCGGUGGUGAUGGACACAAUAAGGGGUUUAGAAAGAGUUACAGUGGUUGUGAUUGUAGAAAGAAAGUUGCAGAGAAAACUUUAGAGUGCUAAGUUUGCCAAAAUAUCAAAAAGUUCCUAAGGAGACAUUCAAACCUUUAUUUAUAGGCCUUGAAAAGGGGAGUUAAAAGGAAAUGGUUAUGAAGGAAAUGUGGGCAUGAAUGUGUUAAAAUGGUUGAUAAUGGGAUUGAAAGGGGUUACUUGAACAUAGGAAAAUGGAAGGUAAAUUAUAUGGAUAAUGAAUAUAAAGGCAAUUACAUGAAAGUUUACCUACUUAACCGUUUGUCCAAUGAAGAGAUUGGAAGGAAAACAUUUGUAUUCCAAAGAAGUUUAAGUGAACUUCUUAACAAUAUCUGUAUCUAUGCCUCCAAGGCAUGCUUUCCAGGACAUUCCAAAAUUGGAUCAACCUAGGAGUCAUGCCAACCUUCCAAGGUUAGCUCCAAUGGUAGUUGUUCCCAACAUAGGAACAAAGUGUUAGUAACCAAAAGCAAGCAUCUACUAGUUCGUUUUAGGCCAGUUUGUUAGGUCGUUCUACAUAGGAUUGAGAAACAUUUUUUAUCUUCUUGUUGAAGAGAUGGGUGCAGAAAAGAUGCUGCUUUAAAAACGUCGGAUCUAGCUGUAGAUUGAUUUUCUACCCACUUUAUUAUUAUUUUAGCACUGCUUCUAAUUUUUUGUUCUGCCAAAGUCACCUUUUCUCUUUCUAAAAUUUUGGCCCAAGAUAGUUAGAUCUCUGACCAUAGAUCAAUUUAGCUACCAGACAGAUUUAAAUAAGUUAUUCCCUUCAACUAAGGUAGGGGAUUCCAUGUUUCUAUGUAUUCAGAUACUCAGCUGGUUUAUUUAUCGCUUUUGGUUCUCAUCUUAGUGGCUUCUCAUAUGAUGCUAAUUAUUACAUUUGUACUAUUACAGUUUAUGAUGUAACUCGGCGAGACACAUUUACAGAUUUAUCUGACGUAUGGGCUAAAGAAAUCGAUCUGUACUCAACAAAUCAGGACUGCAUCAAGAUGCUUGUUGGCAAUAAAGUUGAUAAGGUAUAGUUUGAGAAGUGAUUUAUAUCCUUUAAUCUCACCAAGGUUAUUGGUUUUUUUUGUUCCGGUAUUCCUCUGGUUCUUGACCGUUAUCUACAGUGUUUUGCCAUUGGAUUGUUGAACUCCGUCUACCCCUUCAUGAAUGCAGGAAAGUGAAAGAGUGGUCAGCAAAAAAGAGGGCAUCGACUUUGCUCGGGAAUACGGAUGCCUUUUCAUUGAGUGCAGUGCAAAAACACGAGUAAAUGUGGAACAAUGCUUCGAGGAGCUUGUCUUAAAGGUAUUUACCAAGUAACUUCAACGUUGACAGGCAUUUACAAGAAUCCCUAUGAAUGCUCAUUUACAUAGACAUGCUCAGAUAGUUUAAACCCGGUGAUGAUGUUUGAUAUGCAGAUAUUGGAAACCCCAAGCCUCGUGGCUGAGGGAUCAUCUGGAGUGAAAAAGAACAUCUUCAAACAGAAUCCGCCUCAAAGCGGUGCCGCAACCAGCGGUUGUUGCUCGUGGUGAUUUGGUGAUUUUUAUCGUUGAACGCUUCGUUUACUUUAACAGCUUCAAACCUGUUUAUUUUAGCUUGUUCAUGUGGGUGUCAUUAAUCCUGAACUUAAUAGUAUUGAAUAAGAUCAUGUUCCUGCCCAUCUCUUGUCAAAUAUAGUGCCAUAUUUUAUAUUUGGUUCCUUUAUAGGUGGUAUGUAUUUCAAGUCCAAUUGAAAGUGUGUAUUGGGAAUGGCCCAAUUGAUGGUAAAAAGCAUAUUUCAAAAAUGGCGAACUUGCCAUUAAUGAGAUGCCUAGGAGAUGAGAGGAAAGCACAUGGCAUAUAACAAUCAAAUAGAAUCAAUGAUGUAAGGAAUUUAUUUAUAUUCUAUGGAGUGCUGGACUUUGGCAGAGUUCACUAAAUGGAAUUCCAGUAAUUCUUUAUGAAAAAAGGAAAUCAAAUCAAUGGACUGGGAACGAAUUUUCAGAGUGAAGCAGAUAGCUAACCUAGUUUUGUCUAGUCCAAAAGGAUAAGGUCAUUUGAAAUUUAUUUAUAAUAUAUAAAUAAAAUAAAAUUUUAAUAAUGAGACGAGUUCUCAGUCCAUUCAUAUUUAUCCCAAAUUAAAUAAAUACUUUAUAGAAUUUUAUCAGAAUUUUUUUUAUUUAUAUAAACAAAUGUUUGUUUUGUGGGUUUAUAUAAAUAAAUUAAUGUCAUCUAUUUAUAGUUUCUCCUAAAAAAAAUAAAAUUCAAGCUAAGAAAUAAAUAAAAAAUGCAGUGAUGGUGCUGUAGAUCUGAAACAUUUAGGUUGGGGGGAUUGAAGCAUUAAUGUCAAUAGCGAUUCAACAAUACUAUAUAGGUGUUUAUCUUUAUAUUGAAAUUUAAAUUUCGGGUGAAUUACAAACUUUUAUUUGCCAGCUUACAUUUUAAUUAUUUAUAUUUGAAAUGUUACGUUUUAGUCACUUAUGUUAUCGUUUCGUUACGAAGCGGUCACUCUAUCGUUAAACUCGUUACCUGACAGUCUUACGUGACCGUUCAAAUAAGUUUUGAAUGCCAACUUGGAUAUCCACGUAACAUAAAUUUUUAAUUAAAUAAAUUUAAUUUGGACAGCCACGUAGGAUAUCCAAGUUGGCAUUUAAAACGCAUUUGGAUUGCCGUGUAGGACUGCCGUUGGGGAGGUAACGAAAUUUAACGGUAGAGUGACCACUUCAUAACAGAACAAUAACGUAAGUGACUAAAACGUAACAUUUAAAACAUAAAUGACUAAAAUAUAAUUUGAGGCAAACAAAAAUGACUAUUUUUGUAGUUUAUUCAAAAAUAUAAAUUUAAAUUUCAAAAUAAAAAAUAUGAGAGACAGAAUUAUGACAUUAAUCUAACUAAUUUAAUAAAUAUCUGCAGAACAUCAUUAUCAAAGCCAAUGAAAAAUGAAAAGUCAAAAUUCGAUCCAAAUCGAAUCCCGACAUGCUAUUAUUAUUGAUGUUGUUGGCCCUACGUUAUUAAGCUUACUUCCAUUUCUAAGGGUGAAGCUUCAAAGUAAAGCCUUAAAAUCAUACUCCACCUCUCUGCUUCCCUCUCAAGUCACGGCGGCGGCGCCACCUACUUUGAGCUGCUUCUAGCUGAAACCAUCGACUACCGAAUAAUAAAAGAGGAAGAAACCUGACGGACCCAUCCGUGGCCGCCUCCUCCUUUUCCCCGCCGCGUGGGGAUGCCGAUAUUGAGGCUCUUCGCCCUCCUGCAUUGGCUGACCCACCGCAACUCCCACCGCUGCAACCUCCUCAGUCAGACGCUAUGAUAUCAUCUAGGGACCCGCACGCGCUCUUUAGUGGCGGCGGCAUAAGGUUCUCCAACUUCUCUCUCUUUUUUUUUUCUGUUUACUAAGUAGCCGUAUAGCUUCAUCAAACUAGAGUAUCGCACUGAAAAAAAAUUGUUUGGAAAUUAUUCUGUUUUUCUUUUUGUUAAUCAUAUAAACGUUUGGCUUGUUCUAUUUUGAAGGAUGACCCUAUUAAUUAUACAAUAACAUUUUUUUAAUUCAAUGCAAAAUUACAUGUCAAGGACUGUUGUUGUGUCUAAUGGCACUGCCGUGGGUGCAUUUGCUGGCUCUGAUUGUAUGCUAAGAAUUUACUGUUAGUAACCGUUUUAUUUAAAUUAAUUGUGUUUUCUUAGUCUUUGCUUUUUUGCAUGUUAAAUAACAUAGUUAUUCUUCUUUUAUGGAUUGAUUGGUUUUGAUUUUAAUCAACCUAGCUUUGGUGUCAGGGUGGAAGUUAAGAUGCAAGAACAUUACAGGGUAGUUUUUUGUUUCACUUAUCAUAAUAACUAGGAUCUGAAUCUGUUUGUUUUCCAGUUUCGAUCAUGUAUAAACAUGAACUAGGAUUAAUAACAUGAACAUCCAAUUAAAUGUGAUUCUUGGUAAUGGUUCCCUUGGUUUCUAGAUAGUGAAUUGUCUGGAUCAUCAGAUGUAAAGUUUUUGAAGGUUUAAAUUUCUAUGAAGUUCGGUAAAAUUGCAGAAGCUGCAUGAGUUUUUGUGCACAAUACUGUGCAUUAGAUUUAGAGGCCCAUGAAAGUUACAAGGUGGCUAAAAUGCUUUGGUUCUUUUGCCAGCUUUCUCACUGGAAGUCGAGCUGCUAAAUUCAGCUAUGGAUAUUCCAGUUUCAAGGGCAAAAGACCUUCAAUGGAGGAUUUCUAUGAAACGAGGAUAUCUGAAGUUGAUGGUCAGAUGGUUGCCUUUUUUGGUGUUUUCGAUGGUAUGACGUCAUUUCUUUGCCUUUGUUGUCUCGACUUUGUUCUUUACAAGAUGUAUUUUAUGGUUUCAAUUUGCACCUUUUUAAAUACAGGGAAAAGGAACUCGAGCAGAAUUAGGUGAGGGUGUGUAUAGCUGUUUAUGAUUUGAUUUAGUUUCCCUUCUUUUAUCUUUGCACUAUAGGUCAUGGAGGUUCAAGAACUGCAGAGUAUCUUAAAAACAACCUCUUCAAGAAUUUGAGCACCCACCCUGAUUUUAUCAAGGACACAAAAACAGCUAUAGGUAUGAAGUUGGCGAAGUUUUCACAUCACUGUAUGAUGAGGAGUUCCAUGAUUUUGUUGGUACAUGUGUAUUUGUUUAUGGCAAUGUUACUAUUGCAGUUGAAACAUUUAAACAAACUGAUGCUGAUUACCUCAAUGAAGAGAAAGGCCAGCAAAAAGAUGCUGGCUCAACUGCUUCAACUGCUGUAUUAUUGGGUGACCGGCUGCUUGUUGCAAAUGUUGGUGAUUCUAGGGUGGUUGCUUCUAGAGCUGGAUCAGGUUGCUUUCUUACCUGCUAAUGUAGUCUAAGAAUUUCUUUGGUUAGAUCUUUGGAAUGAAAAGCAAUAUAUCAAAGAAUAUCAGAAUGAAAAUCUUCACGUCUGUGUCUCAUAUACUAUCAAGUAAUAGCUUGAUGGCUGUCAUGUGUUGGACAUGCUAUAACAGCCAUUGACAGGUUUCGAAGGCUUUGUCUUAACUAUUUCUCCUCCAUUUAGAAGUACAAAUAUAAGGUUUUGGUUUAACUUAUAAGAUUAGCAAUAUAUGAAAAAAAAGGUUGAAUUCUGUGGUGUUUAAACAGCUGAUGAUUUACUUUUGUGUUUUCUGCAGCUGUCCCUCUGUCAAUUGAUCACAAGCCUGAUCGAUCUGAUGAACGCCUAAGGAUUGAAGAUGCCGGAGGUUUCAUCAUUUGGGCUGGUAAUAUGCCUUUCACAGUCUUUCAUGUCCUCAUCUUUUCAAUCAGAAUGCACUCUCUGUAUGCUUGUAUUGUCAUGCUGAUCUUUCCUCUAUGAAUAAUGGUUUCUUGCAUUUUAACUUUAAUUAUUUUCAUUUGGCUUAUAAAUUGGGUUUGCACAUCGUUGCACUGAAGUAAUAUAAAUUCAGUAAAUUGUUUCUAUUUGUUGCAGAAUUGAACUAAAAUGUGUUGCAUUUCUUUUUUAUGUUAGGGACAUGGCGGGUUGGUGGUAUUCUCGCUGUUUCACGUGCAUUUGGUGAUAAACUACUUAAACCAUAUGUAGUUGCUGAGCCAGAAAUUCAGGUGGUAUAUUAGGGUUCAUACUCAUAAAAUUUGUUCUUUUUCAUUCGUCUAAUCACUUUUUAAGUAGAAUUACUUGAGUGAAAUAAAUGUGGCAACCAAUGUAAAAACAUGUGAUAACCGAACCAUUAACCCCUGGUUUUCAACUGCUAAAGUUUCCUUCAUUCAUACUCUAAGAGUACUUAUUAGGGUUCAUACCCUUUCUAUUGCUUAGGAAGAAGAAAUCGACGGUGUUGAUUUCAUAAUCAUCGCCAGUGAUGGGCUUUGGAAUGUCUUAUCGAAUGAGGUGAGAACUUUUACCAUGUUCAUUUCUCAUAUUAAAAAAACAAAAAGGAAAAAAGGGAGACUUUAUAUUGAUGUUUCUUGUAUUUUCCCAGUAAUUUUAAAUGACUUCUAUGGAAAUUAAGCAUCUGGACUUGUUUCACUUGCAGGAUGCUGUGGCCUUAGUGCAGCACAUAACUGAUGCAGAAGCUGCAGCAAGAAAACUUAUAAAAGAGGCAUAUGCACUAGGGAGCUCAGACAACAUUACCUGCGUUGUUGUCCGGUUUGACAGCUCAUGAACUUGUUCGAGGUUUGUAAUUUAUCUGCAAAUAAUCAUGAUUUCUAUCUUGUUCAUCCGGCGAACCACUUUUGUAAUCAGUAAUUUCUUUUAUUCCUUUUACAGGUAUUGGGGACACUAUUUAGCAUAAGGCAGGAAAUAGGAUUAUGAUUAUGAAUGGAUGCAAGUUAUAAGCUCACUUUGGCCUGAUUGGUUACUGCAAGAGGUAGUCAUUUCAACUGGUUACGAGUGAGAAUGUUGUAUGUGUUUUAAGAUUUAGUUGUUUCUCAUAAGAAAAUUAUCUUACACCAUUGAUGGAAUUUUUAGAUUCCGAAGGGGUUAGUAAUUGAAACAUUCGUAAUGUUAAAAAGAUUACAUUCUUAGUGUAUCAAAGAUGAACUCUUGUUAUUGAUCUUGCUUGAGGCAUUGGGAUGUUUUGAUAUUUGAUUAUACAAACCCUAGGUAAUCAAUUUGUUUGUCGGUUUUAUCAAACAAAAAUAACUCUUUACUUGAAUUUUUUAAAAAUAUACACUUUUUUCUAUAAUUAAAAUGAGGUGUUUGAUUAUAUCGGGAUUUGGUAGGAUUAAAAAAAAUUAUAUUAAAAUUUUAGUCUCGCAGUUCAUGCGACUUACAUUAUGAACGAAUAUAAUGGUAUAAAUUACAAAUGAGAGAGGAAUAAAGUAUAAUGAGAUAAAAAUGGGAUGAUUACGAUUUAUUUACAACGAUGAUUAAGUCAAUUUACAAUUUGAAAAUUUUAAGAGAUUUAUACAAUCAUCUAAAAUUAUAAAAUCAAAUUGUCUAAGAUUAUAAAUCUUUUAAAUUAGUUUUCAUAUUUAUCAUGGUAACGUUAGUUUUUUUUUAGGUAAUUUAGUGGGUUACCAAAGUUUCAAGUAGAUAGAUUUUUUUUUACAUGUUCUACGAAUUAGAUAAAUUCAAGUGAGUCAAAUAAGUCUCAAUUAAUCAGUUUGAGUUUUAAAGGAUAUUUUUUUUGUGCAUUAGUCACGGACUUUGAUCCACGACUCAUAACAUAUCCAUAGGAUAAUUUUCUACCUCUUCAACUGGUUUUUUUUUUCUCUUUACUCAUUAUCGAUUUUCUCUCUCUCCUCAUGUUAUCUAUCUUAAAUGUUUUAUUAAUUGAUUUUUUUUUUUAUGUUUCUGUUAUUCAAAAUAAUUUAGUCUUUCCCUUCUUCUCUCAGCCAUAUCAGAUAAUAAAUCAAAAAAUGACCACCGUAAAUGGCGUUGUUCAUCUUGUCUUAUCGCGUACUAACACCGGUUCAAUUUGAUUAAGUUCAUAAAAUGAGGAGACGAAAUUAAUCAAUAUUCAAAAAAUUAAAAAUUAUAAACUUAAUGUCUUUGAUUCAAUUCGAUAUAUGGUUGUACGAUUAAUCGUAUUUGGUAAUAAAAAUAAUUGAAAUUUAUCAAUACUCAUAAAUUAGAAGUACUUAUAAGCUCACACCAAAUUACAUUGUAAUUCAUUUGAUUAAUUGUAUAAUUUAUUUGAUUAAAUUCGUAAAUAGAGUAAAUGAAAUUAGUCAGUACUCAAACCAUCAGAAAUUAUAAAGCUUAAUUCCACUGCUUUUGUACUUACAUCCAUUGAGAGGGAUUGAAUUUCAAAAUUACAAAGAAUUCAGGGAACUAUAACGUAUUUUAACCAAUUUUACAUUUUAUUCCAUUCUUAGGCUCACUUUUUUAUGGCCCAAAUUUAGGCCCAUAACUUUAGAUGGAAUAGGCCGCAAAAUUCUUUACACAGAAAACCCCUCCCGAGGGUUUUAGGCAACCGAUUCGUGAACAGAACAAAAGAAAAGAGCUAGCCAAAUCUGCCGCUUUCUUCUCUUCCUCUCUGUUUGUUUCCCCAGAAAAAAACACUUUCCGGGAAAAAAGAAAACGGAAGCUGUAAACGUUCGAUGGCUCCGGUAGACGAGCGUUUUGUAAGCUCCAAAGCGGAGCUUAAACGAAAACAGAAGGAAAAAAAGAAGGCAAAAUCUGGUGGCUUCGAGUCCUUAAACCUAAGCCCUAAUGUCUACAGAGGAAUCAAGCGGAAGGGAUACAGAGUCCCUACGCCGAUUCAACGCAAGACCAUGCCUCUUAUUCUUGCUGGAAACGACGUCGUUGCCAUGGCCCGGACUGGUUCUGGGAAGACGGCGGCUUUUUUGGUCCCCAUGCUGGAGAAACUGAAGCAGCACGUGCCUCAGGGCGGUGUCCGAGCUCUCAUUUUGUCUCCGACCAGAGAUUUGGCCUUGCAGACUUUGAAGUUUGCCAAGGAAUUGGGAAAAUUUACAGGUUCCUUCUUCUUAUGAUGUGGAAUUUUGAAGUUAAAUUUUCAUUAUUCAUAAUUUAUCUUUUAUGUUUUUGAAUGAUUACAGAAUUAGAAUUUUGAAUUUUAUGCAGCAAAAUGCAGGAAUUUAGUUUUAUUGGUAACCACUACAUUUGAAUUUUUUUUUUGUUCUAAUCAUUUGUUUAUUUUUAAUAAAACAUGAUCACGCUUUUUAGCACUCUUUGAGGGAGCCAAAAGCUAUCAGUAAAACUAAUAACCAAAUGGAACAUUAGCUUUAGAUUGUAACAGAUGAGUUUCAGAGACCACUGAGGAUUUUAUCUCCUAACAAAUCUACUUUGUCCUUUCAUUAUUGUAAUAUCGGUGAUUUGUAGUAACUGAAUAAGAAAUUGGUUUUAAUUGGCUUGCCUUCCUUGAUGACAACUUACAUAUAAUCUCUUGUGUUCAUUUUAGAUCUUCGGAUUAGUUUGCUUGUCGGCGGUGAUAGCAUGGAAAGUCAGUUUGAAGAGUUGGCACAAAACCCUGAUAUUAUUAUUGCUACUCCUGGUAGACUGAUGCACCAUCUAGCUGAGGUUGAUGAUAUGACACUUCGUACAGUGGAAUAUGUGGUAUUUGAUGAAGCAGAUUCCCUCUUUGGCAUGGGUUUUGCUGAACAGUUGCAUAAAAUUCUUACCCAGCUUAGUGAAAACCGUCAGACCUUGCUCUUUAGUGCAACUUUACCAAGUGCCCUAGCAGAGUUUGCUAAGGCUGGUCUGCGAGACCCUCAACUUGUGCGGCUUGAUUUAGAAACCAAGAUUAGCCCUGACUUAAAGCUUGUUUUUUUCACCUUGCGUCAGGAAGAAAAACAUGCCGCACUGUUGUAUUUGGCAAGGGACCACAUUAGUUGUGAUCAACAAACUUUGAUAUUUGUUUCCACUAAACAUCAUGUAGAGUUCCUUAAUAUUAUGUUUCGAGAGGAGGGUAUCGAGCCUUCUGUGUGUUAUGGUGAUAUGGAUCAAGAUGCUCGGAAAAUUAAUAUUUCAAAAUUCAGAUCAAGAAAAACUAUGUUGCUUAUUGUGACAGACGUUGCUGCUAGGGGUAUUGACAUACCUUUACUAGAUAAUGUUAUUAACUGGGACUUCCCUCCGAAGCCCAAAAUUUUUGUUCAUCGUGUUGGACGAGCAGCAAGGGCAGGUAGGACUGGAACUGCAUUUUCCUUUGUGACAUCUGAGGAUAUGCCAUACCUUUUAGAUCUUCAUCUAUUUCUGUCAAGACCAAUCAGGGCGGCACCUACUGAAGAAGAGGUUUUUCAAGAUAUGGAUGGGGCAAUGAAUAAAAUUGAUCAAGCAAUUGCAAAUGGAGAAUCUGUUUACGGACGUUUCCCCCAAAACAUUAUUGAUCUUAUUUCAGAUAGGGUUAGGGACAUGAUUGAUUCAUCUGCAGAACUAAAUAAUUUACAGAGGACAUGUACAAAUGCUUUUCGUCUGUAUUCCAAGACUAAACCAUUGCCUGCAAGGGAGUCCAUCAAAAGGGCAAAGGAUUUGCCCCGUGAAGGCUUGCAUCCUAUCUUUAGAAAUGUACUGGAAGGAGGUGAAUUGGCAGCACUUGCGUUUUCUGAACGUCUGAAAGCUGUCAGGUAAAUUCUAAAGCCUUUCAUCUGGGAUAUACUGGGCUUUGUGGUUAAGUGCUUCUGUCUUUUUGGCUUCUCUGUGUUCUUCCAAGUCAAAUUGUUAUUUGUAAGUUUCUUAAGCUGCAAAAUUUUAACUUACUAUCAAUGAUUUAUGCUAGACCCAAGCAGACCAUUCUGGAAGCUGAAAGUGAAGCUUCUAAAUCAAAGCAUUCUCAGGUAACUCCUCAAUUUUUGUGGCAUUUUCUUUCUAUUAUCAAUGAUGAUUUUUUUCUUAAAUUGGUUAACUUUCUUGCCUUCGAUUCUUACAUUUUUCUUUAUUCUGAUUACUCUGCCUUUUCUUUAUUUCUUUUGAAUAUCUUGCUUUUUUGCACUUCAAAACCUUGUAUGAGAAUUAUGCUGC